rnacentral:lncRNA from 1 species
UUUUUUUUAAGGUAUGCAUAAUGCAAAUUUGUGUAAAAUUUCCAGAAAAAAAUAAAUAAAUAAAUAAAAUGGACUUUAUUUCUCUUAAUGCAUUUUUUUUUUGUUGCUAUAUACAUACAUAUAUUAUGUACAUACACACCAUAUUAUCAUAACUUCAUUUUCUUUUCUCCUUCUUUUUUUUUUUUUUUUUUUUUUUUUUUUUUUUAAAUAAAUAUAUAUAUAUAUAUUUUUUCUUUCUUUUUCUGCACACGGUGCCAGACGCACCAUGAAACCCUUUUUUUUUUAUUUUUUGUAUUAUUUUCUGUUUCUUUAGUUGGUGCCCAUGCACCAUUCCCUUUUUUCACGUGGUGCCAGAUGCACCACCACCCUUUUUUUUUUUUUUUUUUUUGUAUAAAUUUGGGUGAUGGGUAGAGGAACUUGCAGGGAGCGGACGAAGAGUUGGAGUUUGAGGAAGCGCUUCUCGGCCGGCUAGUCGUUUGACAGCGGUCUUUGAAGUUGUUUGGCAGCUGCGAGGCAAGAGACGGAGGAGGAGGGGCCGUACGUGUUGCUGAAGCUGAUGGGCAGAAGGAGAAGGUGAGCACAACCACCGAGCACAGCCAACAGACUCCACGCCGCCGUCGUCCUCGUCCUUGUCUUUCCUCUCUGCCCAAAGAGAGCGCCAUCGACCUCCAAUCAUCGCAACAACCAUUCUCGAGCUCUUCGACCCCAGCUGGCAUCUCCACCUUCACCGCCGCAUCGGCGCCAGUGACAGCGGCAUCACCUUUCCCGUCCAUCUCAGACCUUCACCGUACUCACAUACCAGAAGUGCAUUUGCUCAAUGAGAUCGCAUGUACUCGAAGUCUUGUCCCCGCGACACAACUGCAGCUCAGCUCACACCCUUCAACUGCAGCAGCAAUCGGCACUAGAUGAGGCGGCUCGAAGAUGCUACUCCAACGAAUCCAAGCUAUGCAUCGAGGAAUUUGUCGAGAUGAUGCAGCAGCAGGUUAACAGUGGUGAUGUUGCAUGUUCUUGCCACUUCCCACAACCGUGAGUCCGCGAAAGACGUCGAGGGAACCGAGGCGUUGCUGCUUUGCCGUGACUUCGAGGCGUCGAUGGCGAGUUGUGGAAGAAGACUGUUUGCUGCUGUUUGUGGCUGAGAGAGAGACAUGCGUUGGUGACUUGGGCUGAGGAGCUGCAGCUGGGUUUGUAAUGGUGGUUGUGUAAAGGUUGACACGCAUCGGAACGUUGGUUGAUCUGCGUCAGAGGCAGGAUCCGUGUCCAGAACGGGUUCGGGUCCGGACUUUCUUCACGAACGAUGCGCUGUCGUCUUGCUGCUGCUUCGAGAGGAGUAGAGCUGGUGUCAUUCUCCAGAUCAUCAGUGCGAAGAAAAAUUCACGGGCCGAAACAGACGUAAGCCGUGGCGACUGAUUCGAGCAACACAAAGCACCCCAAGAAGAAAAACCAACCCCGACGGCAUCAGGCACCUGCACCUGUACCUGUACUUCACGCUCAUGUUGCAGCAGUUGCUGCCGCUAUUACUCGCACCACUUGCACAAGCUCGGCUCGAGUUUCAGUUGAAGUCCGCGACUUUUGUGAGGAGGAGAGAGAAGGAUGGAGUAAGUACCACCGGACGACGACUUGUCGUAGUUGAAGUGAGAGUUGGAUCUUUCGCUUUUGAGAAAGAAGCGUGGAGAGUGCGGCUUGGGCUGCAUUUCUUGUUGGGUGUCUUGAGGAAUUCCGUUUUGUCUCGUGCCUUGAAGUCCACCUGUUGGGCUUGGGCCUCUGAUGCCAUAGCCCGGAUGCAGACGAAACGACGCCGCCGCCGUUGAUCUUGACGACUCCGCAAAAGCUGUGGUUCUCCAUAUCAACCCCAUCGCCAGUGUUGCGUCUCUGAGCUUCGACAACAUAUGUAGCAGCAACCAUUAAAGGGGUUCUUUGCUCAUUAACCAUCUGUUUUUUUUUUUUUUUUUUUUUUUUUUUUUUUUUUUUUUUCGGGAGGAUCGGACACGGCUCCAGCGGUUGCUGGAAUUGGGUUUUGGCGGUGGACUGUAGCGGGAAGCACUGGUUGGAGCAGUGCCUGGUGCGAAUUUGUUUCAACGAGUCAAUGCUCCAAUGGACGACAGAUCGGAGCAUGGAAUGGAUCCGCCGCCAUUUCUCAAAUCACAGUCGGAUCGCGCGGAGCACCCCCUCUCUAUCUGCAAAUGAUUUCAGAGGCUUUGCCGCUCGUAGCUCAACCGCUCGCAGGUGGUGUUUCACUUGUAGACGAAGACGAGUUCACUGAGUCACUGAGUUCAGGAAAACGCAGAGAGGAGAGGACGACAAAAGGAAGGCUUCGGGGAUUUUCCGCUGCAUACCAAUUGAAUCCUUUAUCAUCUUCAGCUACUCUUGCCGCUGGGCUUGGACUUUAAUUGAUGGGCUGAGGAGAAAUGGUUUGAGAGAGACUUGGGGAGCUGGAUUUGUGGCUGGGCUCAUCACGAUUUCAAGCCCCAAUUAAAUGAUUGCUGCACCUUUUAGAUUUUCUAGCCCAAGAACUUUGAUCCAUCCACUUCCUUUUUUUUUUUUUUUUUUUUAUAUUUACUUAUUUAUAUAUAUAUAUUUUUUUUAAUAUAUGUAAAUUUUUUUUUUUUUUUAAGUACAUAGUAACUACAUAUGUAUUCUUUUUUUUUUUUUUUUUUUUUUUUUUGUAAUGAAAUUGACUUUCAUUAAUAAAACCCUUAUUUUUUAUUUUGAUGUGACUGAACUCGAAAUUGAAUAUUCAAGCUGCCUACGUACUCUUCCAAAGAAGAGAUCAAGUCUUAACGUAGUUCGAAUACAUACAUAUUUUUUUUUUUGGUAUUUUCUUUUUGUGUCGUUUACAGUUUUAACUCAUGCAGGCAAGGAGUGUUUGUUGUCGCCUUUUAUGCUCGUGCGGACAAGGAGCGUUGUGCCAUGCAGUUUAGGCUCAUGCAGGCGAGGAGCUUUGUGUCUUGCAGUUUAGGCUCUUACAGACAAGGAGCUUUUGUGUUGCCUUUUAUGCUCGUGCAGACCAGGAGCGUUGUGCCAUGCAGUUUAGGCUCGUGCAGGCGAGGAGCCUAGUGCCAUGCAGUUUAGGCUCGUGCAAGCAAGGAGCUUUGUGUCUUGCAGUUUAGGCUCUUACAGACAAGGAGCUUUGUGUUUUGCAGUUUAGGCUCUUACAGACAAGGAGCUUUGGUGUUGCCUUUUAUGCUCGUGCAGACCAGGAGCGUUGUGCCAUGCAGUUUAGGCUCGUGCGAACAAGGAGCGUUGGUGUUGCCUUUUAUGCUCGUGCAGACCAGGAGCGUUGAUGUUGCCUUUUAUGCUCGUGCAGACCAGGAGCAUUGUGUCUUGCAGUUUAGGCUCUUACAGACAAUGAGCUUUAUGUCUUGCAGUUUAGGCUCGUGCGAACAAGGAGCAUUGUGCCAUGCAGUUUAGGCUCGUGCAGGCGAGGAGCAUUGUGUCUUUUGUCAAGCAAUCCAGGAGAGGUGUUCCUCGCAAUCUUCAUAGCAAGGAGCCUUGACCGAGUGAUUGAAGAAGUCUUCGGGCAAGAAAUCACGCAUUGUGAUGGGGACGGACGAUCUUCGUGUCGAAGUUUCAUCAUCUUCAACACGUUCACAUUGCUUUGAAGGUUGACAAGAGAUGCUUUGCCCCCUUUCCGAUUGGCGGACUUGUGGAGGAGACAUAUGCUUCUUGUGCAAUUUCUUAGGAGUGACUUGAGUCCAUCCUUCAAUUUUGCUUGUCUUGGAGGAUGCCCCCAGCGGUUGAGGUGAAAACUUUGAGUCGGAAGAGCCAGAAGUGAAGGUGGUAUAGUUUGACUUCGCCACUUCGUCAAGAUCUAGCUCGAUGAUUCCUUUCUGAGCCAGCUUUAUGAUGAGAUCUUUUAGCACGAAACAUUUUUCUGUCGGAUGACUGAUGAAGCGGUGGAAUUUACAGUACCUUGGACUGUCGGUGCGAUUCAUCUCUUCUGGCCGUUUGCACUCAGGCAAGCCGAUCACCUUCUUUUCCAGCAAGUCUUCUAACAUGGCAACCACAUCAGAGUCGGGGAAUGGAUAAGUUUUCUCCUCAAGCUCCUUCAAAGUGCGUCUACGCAUCUCUUGAUCACGAAAGCCUUCGGCUUGAAUUGCCUUGCCUCGUGUGGAUAUUUUGACGGGAGAUGUGUUGACCGUCAUCACUUCCUUGGUGGGUUUCCAUGCAGCCUUUUCCACCUUUAUCCCAAGAGCUUUGUCGUUCUUGUAGUCGGCGAUCGGUUCUUUCUUCCCAUGAUGGGCGAUGCUCAACUCCAUGUCAUGGGCGCGAGUGGCCAAUUCCUCGAAGGUCCGCGGUUUAAUGCCUUGAAGGAUGUAUUGCAAACCCCAUUGCAUGCCUUGGAUGCACAUCUCGAUUGAAGAGGUUUCCGAGAGCCUGUCUUUACAGUCGAGGCUUAGAGUGCGCCAUCUGUUGAUGUAGUCAAUGACUGGCUCGUCCUUCCACUGCUUUGUGCUCGUUAGCUCUAGCAUGCUCACAGUGCGGCGGGUGCUGUAGAAGCGGUUGAGGAAUUCCCGUUCUAAUUGCUCCCAGCUGUUGAUGGACUCAGGCUCUAGGUCCGUGUACCACUCAAAGGCAUUUCCUUUCAGCGAGCGCACAAACUGCUUGGCGAGGUAGUCUCCCUCCGUCCCUGCGUUGUUGCAAGUUUCGACGAAAUGUGCAACAUGCUGCUUUGGGUUUCCUUUUCCAUCAAACUGCAUGAACUUUGGUGGUUGAUAACCCCUUGGCAUCUUUAGGGCAUCAAUCUUCUUGGAAUAGGGCUUCGAGUAGAACAAUGAGGUAUGUGAGCUCCCUUCGUACUGUGCCUUGAUGGUGUUGGUGAUCAUCUCCUGCAGCUGCUGGAUAGAAAGAGAUCCCAUGAGUGCCGCUGCUUGGUCUGGCUCCGGCUUCGCAUCGUUUUUCUCCACCUGAAGCUCUUCUUCUUCAUCAUCUCUUCUCUUUAGUGGAUCAUUCUCUGGGUCGGGUUUAUCGCCGUCCUGCGCCUCUAGUCGAUUGACGAGUGCUGCAAUUUGCAAGUCUUUUUCUUCCACAGUUCGGGUUAGCCUUGCGAUUGCUUCAUUCAUCUGAGCCAGCUGCUCAUCGAUUGAAGUUGCUCCAAUGGUCAUGACUUGCAUGGCUGCACUGCCGCUUGAAUCGGCAUCGGAGAGCAUGGAUUCGGAGUAUUUCCUUGGGCUUCCCCCCUUUGGUGCCCUUAGUGAGGCUAAGGUGAUCAAAGGCUCGUGCCUUGGGUGCUUUUGUUCCCUUGGCAGAGUUGAUGCAGAGGUGAAAGAGGCGGCAGAAGUAGCUCUUGCCAUGCUUCAAGUCGUGAUGCCCAAAGUGACACCAGUUGCGACGAGGACGCUCUUGUUCUUUGCGCCGGUUGCGGGAACAGAUUGAGCCUUCCUUGAUGCCAUUCAUUUUGGAAGUGCGCUUGAAUUUCUUGAACGGAGAAAGAGAUGAGAGGCAGAGAUUGUCCCACUGGGCGUGCCAAUUUGUGAACACGGAAAAUUCCUGAAACGAAAGAGACAAGAACAAACGCGCACAAACAAAUAUUUGUGUUUGAUGAUUUUGGGUUACAAUCUCUCUCAAAUUUUGAUCCUCUGAUUCGAUCUCCGUAAGGUGUGUAUUUGUCGAUGUGAUUGAUCCAAAGGGCCGUUGGGCUUGAUCUAAGGAUGAACGUUCUUCAAGGGCCGUGGACUUGAUCUUGAAGGUGGAUUUGAGCGGAUCUUCAAAGGGGGCUUUUGGGCUUGAUCUUUGAAGAACAGUGAUGAACGGAUCUCCAAGGGCUUUUGGGCUUGAUCUUGAAGAACAGUGAUGAACGGAUCUUCAAGGAGUUUUGGGCUUGAUCUUGAAGAACGGUUGGAUUUGUGGAUUUGUCGACGUUGUUGAUCCAAAGGGCCGUUGGGGCUUGAUCUUGGAUGAACGGAUGAUGAACGAUGGUGCUUUCUUCAAGGGCCGUCGGGGCUUGAUCUUGAAUUGGUGGAUGGUUGAUCCAAGGGGCCGUCGGGGCUUGAUCUUGGAAGAACGAUGAACGAAGAACGAAGAACACUUUCUUCAAGGGCCGUCGGGGCUUGAUCUUGAAUUUGUGGAUGAUUGUUGAUCCAAAGGGCCGUUGGGGCUUAAUCUUGGAAGAACGAUGAACGAAGAACGAAGAACACUUUCUUCAAGGGCCGUCGGGGCUUGAUCUUGAAUUGGUGGAUGAUUGUUGAUCCAAAGGCCGUCGGGGCUUGAUCUUGGAAGAACGAUGAACGAAGAACGAAUAAGGCUUUCUUGAUUCUUCGGGAACCUAGAUGCUUAAGAGCUUCGGAGUUUCAGAGCUUCAGAGCUUCAAGGUGUAAUAUGAAUUGCCCCUAAAUGAAUGAAAUGGGCUUAUAUUUAUAGAAUUUUCCAAGGCCUAAUUUUGAAUAUAAUAUCCCGGAUGAAAUAAGUCGUUUCUGCCAGGUGUUGACACGUGUCCUAUUUGAUGACUUUUCCAACUCAUUUCAAUUUUCGUUGAGUCACACGCUACGUGUAAAAUUUAUGUAAUACAUGAGCGUUGACACUUUGAUUUAUCGGUCAACAUUUAUUUACCGAAAUUUCGAUGUCUACAUAUACAUCAUUCGUUCCAAAUACACAAGGCAACCAACUCUAGCAUGGAACUCUCGUUCCUUAUUCAAACAAACUUUCUUGUGCAGGAGGUGGUAAUUGAGUCAGACGUUCAAGGGGUUAUUCAGUCCCUCAAUUCCCCUCCUUUGAGCUGUGAUUGGGACCUUCUCCCAAUUCUUAGCCGUAUCUUGGAUGUUGGGAGGAGUUUUCAUUCAUGCUCCUGGUCGUGGAUUCCACGAUCGGCAAAUAUGGCGGCGGAUUUUGUCGCAAGGAGUAUUUCACCGGAGAUGUGCAGCUUUGGCUGGGUUGUUCAACCUCCAUCUUCGCUAGUUGGCAUUUUGAACAAAGAUGGUCUUCCCUAUCCUCCUUUGUAAUUGGGGAUGGGUUGCACUGGUAAUAGGGCGACGCUGGUACCUGUUGUGGUGGUGUCUUUCUUGAUCCUAUUUAUCUGUGUCUGUAUCUUCUGGGGUUGUGGAGGUUGUUUCUCUGUGUGUUGUUUGGCCUUGUGCCUCUCUGUUCUUUGAAUCUAUCCUUUUACCAAAAAAAAAAAAAAAAAAAAAAAAAGAGAACUUAAACAAGACUUAAACAAAUUUCGUUCUCAAAAUUUAAAACGUACCAAUGUUAGAAAACAGUUAAGGGUAUUCUUCCGCAUUUCAGUUUAUAAUUCCCAUGUAGCACUUUCUCCAUCACCAUGUUGCCAAAGAACUUUGACCAACAAGAUUGAUACUGUACGAAGGGUUUGUUCUUUAUGAUCCAAUAUCUGGAUUGGUCUAUCUUCAAAGGAUUAGCCUUCAUCUGCUCAAAACUCUUGCUAGUCGAUAGCAUGUGUUGGAUAUGGUUCAUAUUUUCGAAGCAUUGAGACAACAAAAACAUUGUGAACACUAGAAAUUUGUGCUGGUAAAGCUAAUAUGUAAGCACUUCCUCGAUUCUCUCUACGAUUUUAAAACAACCUAUAAAUCUAGGAGAUGACUUCCCAGACUUUUCAAAUCUUUGGAUUCCUCUACAGGGAGAUAUCAUGAGAAAUACGUGAUCUCCUACAUUGAAUUCUAAUGGUCUUCAUCAGCAUCACAUGGGAAUUAGAAACCAAAAUGGGGAAGAAAUACCCAAAACUAAUUUCUAACACCGGUACGUUUUAAAUUUCUAGGACGAAGUUUCUUUAAGGUUUGUUUAAGUUUAUGCAAGAAGGUUUGUUUGAAUAAGGAACAAACUCGAUUAGUUUGUUUUUGUUAAUUGCUCUGGAGUUAUUCGUUUAUUUUUUUUAUUUUGUCACAUCUUAAUUAUGUAAAUUUCAUAUUCUAUUGUUGAGAUGUGAUUCGCACCUUAAUUCAUGACUUGACUAUAUUUUUUUAAUUAGAGCGUGACAAUCCAUGAACACCAUUAACGAUUCCUAGUGGACUAUAGUACAUGGCAUUAUUUUUUUCCUUUUUUUUUUUUUUUUAACAAACAACAGGAUAAUCUACAUUAAACAACGGGGAGGGGGAUUCAUACACAGAAUUUCAAAUGCAAAGACGAAUGCUUUUAACAAACUGAGUUACAGCCACUUGCUAGUACGUGAUAUUAUUUGACAGAAUUUAAGAUGGUGGUCGCAGGCCAAACAUAUUACUAGUUUAUUGAACCAAAAAACAUCUAGGAAUGCAGUACAUGCUUCCUCACAUCUUGCUAGCCAUAUAAUUAUCAUUUGAGGCUAUGGCCAACAAUGAAAAAAACAUCAAAAGCUUAACAAUAUUGUUAAAGCUGACAUCUAGCUUUUCCUUAAUAGCACACGAUUCACCAAAUUGUCGAAGUUCUUGGAUGAAUAACCGUGAGGACUAGUAGAUUCUUUUGCAAGUUUCUUCAACUACAUGACCUUAUUUUUCAUCUUCUUAGCCUUCUCCCCCUCCAUUAACUCUCUAACAAGCUUCUCUACUCCAUCCCUCUUCACAUCAUUAUUGAUUUCCAUGCCAAUGCCCCAUUCCUUGCAAGUAUAGCGGCAGUCCAUUUGCUGGUCGCAAAAGAAUGGCCAACAGAGCAUAGGCACUCCUCCAGUCAGGCUUUCAAUGGUUGAACUCCAACUGCUGUGUGUUAAAAAUCCUCCAACUGAUGGAUGGUUCAGCACAUGCUCUUGUGGGCACCAACUUGCAAAUAAAGUUCUUUCUUUCAGCCACAAACUCUGAUGGCAAAAUCGCUGAUCUGCCAAUUACCAAAUCGGGUCUAAUUACCUAGAAGAAAGGCAGCUUGCUGUUUGCUAGUCCCCAUCCAAACUCAGUUAGAUGUUCAGGUGUCAUGGCCGUUAUACUGCCAAAAUUCACGUACACAACUGAAUUUGGGGCCUUACUAUUUAGCCACUCGAGGCAUUUGAGUUUCUUCUUUCCAUAGACUGUAUCCAAUAUUCAAGGGAUGUUCUGGUAUCUGGUUGAGAUGUAAUUGAAGAGGGCCAAUGGUAUAAACAAGUGGAAGCAUAGAUGCGAGAGCAUCCAAAAAAUCUCUCUCCAAGGCCUAAAAAAUAUGAAGAAUAAUUGCUGAAGCUUCAUGAGCUCUCUCUGUUGAUUCCAUCACAAAGUUGAAAAAUACGUCAUUAGGAUUUGUGGUUCGAAGGAAGGUUGGGAGAUCCUUCAAACGGAUACCCUUCAUUCCUGGAAUCCAAUCUAUAAUGUUGUCGAAAUAGCCAUUUGUCAAACAACUCUCAUCUACAACACAAAAAAAUUUAUACACAAGUUAUGAUUAAGCAAUUAAAAGAGCUAAUCAUAAAUAUCAGUUUGUCCAAUAGUUGUAAAUAUUUAACCUUUGAGUGGUGCAAGUCCUUUUUCGACCAAAGCACGAAGUUGUAUAAAGCCCAUGAAGCUGCAUGCAGCAAUAGUGUAGAACAGUACUAUAGGGACUCCAAUUUCUUCAGCAGCUGUGAUUGUGAAUGUGGACAUGAAACCAUCUGAAAUUAUGUAAGCCACUCUAGGAUUGUUGGAUGUGGAUAAGGCAUCGUUGUUAGUUUUUUGAGGAGGGCACGAAAGGGAGCCAAGAAAUUCUGUUUUUGGACAGAGUCAGCAAGCAAAGUGACAUCUUGGGUGGUAUUUUCAUCUGAAUCAGGAAGGCCAAAUGGGAUGGAUUCGAACUGAAAAUUAGGCAAGCCGUCAAGGGAGUUGGGGCCGAGUGAUCUAAGAAAGCGCUUGUGGUUGAACUCUGUGUUGACAAAGGUGAUAUGAAAACCUGUGGUGGAGGAGCUUUGCAAAUUGAAGCAUGACCUUGAUGUGGCUCUUUGCUGCAACUGGAAUACAAACAGCAUGAGGCUUAUUAGGUACUUCUCUGGUAUCCAUCCUCUAUUUUCUGUAUGCCUAUUGUUUUUUUGUAUUGCAGACUCAGCGUUUGCAGAAUGCACACUACUAAUAUUUAUAGUGAGCACUUUUCAAUAUGUUUGUGUGAGGAAUCUAAGAGUCUGUUUUGUAUGCUAUUUAAAUCCAAAUUUUGUUUAUCUCAAAUAUAAUUUUUGAGUCUCAAGUCAAUAAUUCUUGUUUAAUAGGACUAUUUUUUUUUAAAGUAAAAUCAAAACCAACUUAAAAAAUUAGUUUACUUAUGAAAAACACAAAAAGUCAGCUUUUAAAGUUUUUAAUCUUAUAUCUAUCUAGUUCUCCUCCAAUCAUCUCUUCUUAUGUGUUAUGAUUUUUUUCUCUAGUCUCUCCUCUCUCUCACCCGAACAUUUCCUUCUCUCCUCUCUUCCAAUCUAUUAUAAAUCUUUCUCUCUCCCCUCUCCUCUCUCUCUUCCUUUCUCUCCUCUAUCCCUUCAAAUCCUUUCCUUUAGUUUUCUCUGUCUCUCUCACUCUAGAUUCUCUCUCUAUUCUCUCUCCUCUAUCUCCCUUUCUUUCAAUUUUCUCUAUCCCUUUCUUAUUUCUUUAAUUGUUAAGAUUUAAAAGUAAUUUUGAAUUUUCGUACCAAAUAAGUUUUUUAGUCUUAUAAAAAAUUGAGUUUUAAAAAUGAUAAAAAAUUAAUAGUAUACCAAACUUGGCCCUAAGUUUUUGCAAUAAAAUCAAUUUGCAAGAUAUAGAGUAACCAACGCUUACUGAAAUCUUGAAUUCAGAGUCUGUAUUUGUCUAAGGUCUUGUAUGGUGGUCACUUUUGGCUUGCUCGGCCUCUCACCCCCUCCCUGAAAGUUCCCCAUGGGGCUUUCCAGGAAGGGUUUUUUCGGAGGUUUUUUUUAUGAGCUUGCUCUUUGGUCUGAUGUACUUGCUCUGACUUUUGUGCCUUUUUAUAAAAGUUUCCUUUCCCUCAAAAAAAAAAUUAAAAUUAAAAAAAUUAAAAAAAAUUUAUGAGUACAUGCAUGGUUUGGUAAAUUUUUAAUGUGGGAUAUUUCUUCGUUUAAGUUCCCUUAUGUGUGGAGAAUUUUCAAGUUCAAUACGUGAAUAAUAAUCUAGUGACACAAAAUGCGUAUGCGGUGGGGCUUCACAUGUGUGCCAACUUACUUUGAUUCCAUGAAUCACAUACAAAAUUUGUUGAAAUUCCGGUAAGGGACACUUCUUCACAUCCUUUCAUUCCUAUUCUUAUCUUCACACUAGUUCAGGCUAUGAAAUAAUCUUAUUUGAAGAAUCUUGAAUGGAGUGAUCCAAAUUAAUUAACUAGUCAAUUGUCUUGUAAUAAAAUUUUCAUUGGUUACCGUUUGGAUUUAUUUGUAUGUCAAACAUAAAGUUCUUUGGGGCUUUUGAUUGGCCAAAGUAGGAUUGGAUUUGGCUUAUCUAAGACCAAUUCCAAUUUAAUAAACAACUGAAUAAUUUGAGAUUAUUCUUUUUCUAUAUAAACUUUUUUUUUUUUUUUUUUUUUUAACAAACACUAUAUCUACACUAAGAGAGUAAGAAAAUAGGCUAAGUCUCAUAAUGGGUUAGGCAUGCCCACUCUCCGCUCCAUUAGUAUAGAUAAUAUCGUUUGUUCCAAAUUAUUGCCAAAGACGAAUUUGAACCACAUUAUUGCUAGCCCAUUGUGAGGAUUAGCCCACUCUUCUAAAUCCUUAAUGUAAAUAAUAUCGUUUGCUAAAAAAAAUGAGAGACAUAAAUAAAACAAAUCCAACGCAAGCUCCACUAAUCCAAAGCAAUCUUUAUAAUUAGUCCAAACAAAGUCAACCUGAUGGAUCAACUUUGACAAAGGUAAUAUGAAAACCUCCAUUGUGCAGGAGUUUUGCAAAUUUAAGCGUUGCCUUGAUACGGCUUCGCGUCAGAACUGGAAUGCAAACAGUGUGAGGCUUAGUAGCUACUGUUGUGGCUGUUGAGAAUGAAUCCUACAUUGACAAGAGGAGAGAUCUUGCAUGUGCUUAUAAGUAGUUAGGGUACUUUUCAUAUUGCCAAUUGGUUUUGUGGUGGAACCUCAACUUUUUUCAUGGUAUCAGAGUAGAUUGGCUCACGUGUGAAGCCUAACGGCAACACGUGUUCCACGUCACCCAAUUCAUGGUGUUCACAUGUUUGGCACAUCACCCAAUUCGUGUUGUCCACGUGUUUGACUUGAAAAUUCGACAUACAUGAGGGGUCGUAUGAGAAUGUGAAAGUAAAACAAUCCCACUUUGGUGAAAGGGGAAACCUUGCAAGGGCUUAUAAGAUGCUGGGCUACUCUCCAUAUUUACAAUUGGUUUUAUGGUAGAACUUCAACUUUCUUUAGGAUGUCAGAGUAGGUUUGUCCCACGUGUAAAGCUUAACAGAUGCACGUGCUCCACGUUACCAAGUUAUGUUGUCUACGUGUUAUGCUUGAAAAUUUGCCACAUAUGAGAGGCCGAGUUGAGAAUGAAUCCCACAAUGAUGAGAAAAGGGACCUUGCAUGUGCUUAUAAGUAGUUAGACUACUCAUCAUAUUACAUGUUUGUACAAUACUUGACCAAUCCCGAAACUACUGAGCACCGGUCAACGUUAUACUGUCAAGGAUCCACAAGAGUUUCCCUCCAACUAGGAGGCCAAUCACAACGCGACACGUGUCGACAUCAAAGGCCAAUCAUAGCGCGACACAUGUCAACAUCAGAGGCCAAUCACAGCACGACACGUGUCAAAGUCAGAACAAGGCUAAAGACUCUCUUCUAUAAAAGGAAAUCAUUCUCUCACAAUAUUUCCUAAUGUCAUUUAUACUAAAUCAUUUACUAGAAAUCACUAAAGGAGAGCUUGAACCUAUGCACUUGUGUAAACCCUUCACAAUUAAUGAGAACUCCUCUACUCCGUGGACGUGGCCAAUCUGGAUGAACCACGUACAUCUUGUGUUUGCUUCCCUGCCUCUGUUCAUUUACAUACUUAUCCACACUAGUGACCGGAACAAUCUAGCGAAGGUCACAACCUUGAUACUUUCUGUUAUACCAAAGUCCUCACUGAUUUUGUGCAUCAACAUUUGGCGCCGUCUGUGGGAAACAUACUUAUUCCUACUCUCUUCAGCUUUGUCAAGCUGGUUUCCACCAUUCGUACACUCUAUUUUGACCAGGCAUCAUUCUCCAACAUGGGGAGUGAAGGAAGCCACAACAUACAGAACGACACCCCCUUCGCGCCUAGUGUGAGGCUGCAAAAGAAGGAACGAAAGAAGCUCGCUCUUCAAGCUAAAGUCGAUGAGUUGGAGGCUUAGAACAACAAGAUAGCAAUAAAGAAUGAGAUCCUCCAGGAGCAAUAUGAGAAGCUCUUCGAGACGCUCCACGAAGCCAGGCAUACUCAAACACAUGAGCUCAUUGCUCAUGUGGACGUCAACCAUUAUCUGGGUGCCGCCCAACAUGGAGGGUCAUCUGCCUUCAAUAUGGAUAUCCCUAAUAGGGAACGAGCUACUCAUCAAGGUGUUGAUCAACAUGAGACUUCUCUCAACCCAGCUGUUUCGACCCGAAACAGGAGAAGUGGAGGAAGACACCUCAUUGCAAAAGGGUUGGAAGGAUCGACAACCGUUUAUCAUGACUACCAAGACUUCCUAAAGCAACGUCAAGAGAAUCCCCUCCACAUAAGCUCGGAGAUCAAUGACCCAAGGGUUUCUGAAAGGCUCGGUCCCCUCCCAAGACCCAGGCCAGCUGCCAAUCUAAGGAAUGAACGACAGGUCCCAGAGGAACAUAAAGGUACAGGGGACUCGGAAGUAUUCGGACAGACUCGCCCUAUAAGUCAGUACGGCGAGUCCAAGGAAAAACCACACCCUCUUGCUCAAACUUUCCUACUUCCAAGGGGCGAUGAAGACUUACGGAAGGAUCGACACCUCAUUGCAAAAGGGUUGGAAGGAUCGACAACCGUUUAUCAUGACUGCCAAGACUUCCUAAAGCAACGUCAAGAGAAUCCCCUCCACAUAAGCUCAGAGAUCAAUGACCCAAGGGUUUCUGAAAGGCUUAGUCCCUUCCCAAGACCCAGGCCAGCUGCCAAUCUAGGGAAUGAACGACAGGUCCCAGAGGAACAUAAAGGUACAGGGGACUCGAAAGUAUUUGGACAGACUCGCCCUAUAAGUUAGUACGGCGAGUCCAAGGAAAAACCACACCCUCUUGCUCAAACUUUCCUACUUCCAAGAGGCGAUGAAGACUUACGGAAGAAAAUUCCAGUGAUGUAUGACUCCACUCAGAACCCCCUUAUCCUACAGCUUCUUGAGGAAGAAAAUUCCAGUGGUGCAUAACUCCACUCAGGACCCCCUUCAAGAGAAGACAAAACAAAAGCUUGGUUUAAAACUCUAUACUGGAAGGGAGGACCCGAUUGAACACCUUAACCUCUUUGAGUCUACCAUGGCAUAUCGGAUGCACACCGAUAAAGAGCAAUGUCUUCUCUUCCUUUCCACCCUCUAUGGCGGAGCUCUAAACUGGUAUUGCCGUCUUCCAUCUGAGACAGUAGACUCAUUUGGGGAACUGAGGAAACUAUUUAUCUGUCAACACAUCUUCCAGACCGAUCACUUGCAUUUUGUAGAUGACUUGUACACUAUUCUCUAGAAGCCGAGCGAGUCACUACGAGAGUAUGCCGGUCGCUUCAGCCAUGAGUAUUCUCGCUGUGCUGAAGCAGAUACAAGACCGCCCUUAAGGCCUUCACGGCAGGCCUACGUGACUAUUUCUUCAAGUACAUGAUCAAUGCCAACACUUGGAAGACUUACUCUGAGGUGAUGGCACAGGCUUACAACCACGCCUCUGCCGAAACAAAGACAUAUCAAGGGAAACCCCCUACAGCUACCCCUUAUCAGCAAGUAGGGAGUGGAAGUCAGAUCCAACCAAAUGAGAAGACCUCAACCUUCCAAACGGCAGCGGUGCCUCCCCCUACCUUACUUAAUACUUUGCCAAGUCAACAGACAUAUCAAUCUCAGGGCAAAAGGAAAGAUUUCCAUCCUCACCAGUUUCAUUUUAGUAAAAGGAGUAAGGGACACUACCGCGAUAACUAAGGGUAUCGCCAUGAUAAUCCCCGCCCCCAGACAGUCAACACAGUGAGUCAAGCACGUGUCAGGAUAGGCCCUACCCCGAGGUAUGAGGCAUACAUACCUUUGAAUGCCACAUGCGUGGCCAUUUACCCUAGUAUAGCACACCUGAUACUGAAGCCAAAGCCGAGACACCCGGAUUACAAGCCCACGAAGAACACAGGCACGUUUUGCAGUUACCACAAGCAUAACGGUCAUGACGGUAAGAAGUGUACCACCCUUCGUGAUCAUAUUGAAGCUUUGGCACAUGAAGGAAAAAUUGAUCAAUUCCUCCUUCACCCUCCAAGGGAUAACCGUAACCAACGCCAAGUGAAUGUGAUAUAUUCCAUAAGUGCCGGCACACCCAUAUCUAAAUCUUCCAACGGGGCCAUGAAAAAUAGUGAACGAGCUUUGAGGCCUAGCCACCAAGUGUUUCACCUGGAAGACAUUAGGGGAGGCAAGUAUCAAAAGCCUAAUUGGGAUCCAAUAUGUUUCUACCCUGAGGAAGAAAGAGGUAUCAUCUACCCUCACAAUGACCCACUGAUCGUGGAAGCUCACAUAGCCAACUUUGAAGUACGACAAAUUCUGGUAGCCACGGGGGCUUCUGAUAUCAUGUUUGAUGAAGCUUUCAGAGCACUUAAUGUAGCUACUUGCUCGAUCGCUCGAUUUCUCCUCUGAUAAGCUUCUCCGGUGAUAUCGUGCAACCUUUAGGGAGCAUACACUUAUAUUUCACUAUUGGUACAGGCCCUUACACAGCUACCAUUACCAUUAACUUCCUGGUGGUUGAUUGCCCAACGACAUACAAUGUCAUCUUUGGACGCACAGGUAUCAAUGAUCUCAAGGCCAUGGUAUCCACACAUAUGUUGUUGAUGAAAUUUCCAACCCCCUACAACAAUGGUUACAUCAGAGGAGAUCAACUUAGUGCACGAUCAUGUUACAACACUUCGGUCAAGCAACAACACCUGCCUGUGCCCAAUGAAACCCUUUCUAUACAUGACCAAGUCAUAAAGACUAGCCCGGACGAAGCCAACUUGGAUCUUCAAGGUGGCAACAGUUAACCCGACGAUCCUCGAGAUGACUCUUUCACCCAGCAAGAACAACCCGCUAAAGAGUUGGAGAAGGUCCUAUCUCAAAAGAUUAUCCAGAUCGUAUGGUGAAGAUUGGCACCACCUUGUCAUGAUACUCCAACAUUGAGAAAUUGGCUCUAGCAUUGGUCAUGUCUGCUCGAAAACUUCGCCCUUACUUCCAAGCACAUUCCAUCAUCGUGCUUACCAAUCAUCCUCUUCGAUAGCAUUGGGUGAGUUUGACAUUUCCUACCAACCAAAGCCAGUUGAGACGGGCCAAACAGUAGCAGAUUUCAUCGCCGACUUCACAUAUCCUGUUGACAUUGCUUCUACGCCUAAAGCAGUGGCUUCAUUACCCUCAGAAGCUCAGAAAAUAGAACCAACAGCUCCAGCAUGGAGUCUAUAUGUUAAUGGCUCGUCCAACCAACAGGGUUAUAGAGCAGGACUAGUCCUUACUACCACCGAUAAAGUGGCGAUGGAGUAUGCUCUUUGUUUCAAAUUUAAGGCGUCGAACAAUGAAGCUGAAUAUGAAGCCCUCCUAGCAGGCUUACGUUUGGCUAAACACUUCGGGGUUAAACGGAUUGAUAUCUUCAGUGACUCCCAAUUUGUGGUUAACUACGUCACCAACAACUUUGACGCUAAGGAUAGCUCCAUGGCAACAUAUCUUGCACAAACACAACUGUUGCUCAAGCACUUCCACUACCAGAUCACCCAAGUUCCUCAAGCGGCAAACAGUCAUGUAGAUGCUUUGGCUCACUUAGCCUCAGCAGUGGAAGACAAGAUUGGGAGAAAAAAUUAGGUCGAAUUGUUGGCAGCACCAAGCACAAUGGCCGCAAAAGUGUGCAACUUACAACAGGGGGAUAGUUGGAUUACCCCGAUUUAUAAAUUCCUUGCUCAUGGCACCCUCCCCAAUGAUAAAGUCCAAGCUAAGCAGAUUCGGUACAAGUCUACCCAUUACUUGAUCAUUAAUGACCAACUCUACAAGUGAGGUUUUAACCUGCCAUACCUAGGAUGCCUUACGCCGGCGAAGGCGGAAAUUGUCCUUCGGGAAAUACAUGAAGGAGUCUGCGGAGAUCAUGCUGGAUCUUGAUCCCUCGCACACAAAGCUUUUCGCCAAGGAUAUUACUGGCCAACACUCCACCAAGAUGCCAUCAGAAUAUCCCGCUCAUGUGAUAAGUGUCAACACUAUGCAACUAUUCCUCACUCCCCUCCUAAGCCGCUCACUCCUAUGAUCAGCCUUUGGCCCUUCGCCCAAUGGGGACUUGAUUUAAUCGGCCCAAUGCCUGCAGGGAAGGGCAAGGUCUGCUAUGCAAUAGUUGCAAUUGACUAAUUCACAAAGUGGGCCGAAGUAGAACCCUUGGCAACCAUUACUAAGGCAAAAAUAGAAGACUUUGUAUGGAAGAACAUCCUUUGCAGAUUCGGCAUUCCCAAUGCGAUAGUCACUGACAACGGGCGACAGUUCGGCAACAAUAAGUUCAGGAUGUUUUGCUUUAAGUUCAACAUCAACUUAUGUUUUGCCUCCCCAGCUCAUCCCCAGUCUAAUGGACAAGUUGAAGCCAUCAACAAAAUAAUCAAGCGCACUUUAAAAACCAGCAUGGACAAGGCUAAAGGCUGCUGGCCAGAAUUUGUACCCCAGGUUCUUUGGUCACACCACACUUCGUAUCAGACUUCAACAGGAGAAACUCCAUUCUCACUUGCUUUUGGUACAGCGGCAGUUGUCCCAGUUGAGCUUGAGCAAGCAACAUUCCGAGUCCAGAAAUACGUGCAAAGCGAAAAUGACAAACAACUCACCAUCAACUUAAAUCUAGUAGAGGAACACAGAAACCAGGCUCACUUAAGGAAUGUCGCCUACAAGCAGCUUAUCUUCAACUGUUAUGACUUAAAGGUCAAACCUCGCUCUUUCAAAGUGGGGGACUGGGUACUGAAGAAAAGAUUACUCUGACAGAGUCCCGAGUGAAUGAACACUUAGUCCAAACUGGGAUGGACCGUUUGAAGUUAUUGACAUCAGUCGCCCUAGCUCAUAUAAGCUUAGAAGCUCCGGAGGGUGAUCAUGCGGAGCCUCAAUACUGGGUAGAACCUUAGGAGAAGUCUCAGCAGUCGGCAAAGCCCUAGAAAGAGGAGGCACCGGAGGGUGAUCAUUCGGAGCCUCAAUACUGGGCAGAACCCCAAAAGGAGGAGACACCAGAGGUUGAUCAUUUGGAGCUUCAGUACGUGGUACAGCCUUAGAAGACGAAGGCAAUAAAUGCCUUUGGAACAAACCCACAAACUUCUGAUGAUCAAGUAAAAUCUGACCAUCAGAUUCCUGCAGCCGGUCAAGCUUGCUCUUCAUGUUUGUAGCAUAGUUAUGUGCGAGCCUGUGCAACUGUUUAUUCUCAUGCUUGAGCCCUCUAAUCUCCUGUUUGAGACUUAUCACUUCAGCCGCCAAUGAUUUAACCUGGCAGGUUCGAGCAAAUAGGCGUUGGGCCAUAUUAGACACAUGACCUGCACACUGAACACUAAAAGUCAGAGAAUUCUUAACAUCCAACUCAUCAUACCGUUUGGAAAGUAGUAUGUUAUCUCUUGGAGUGAGAAGGUUCAUGGCCACCAUCGCAGCAGUCAUAUCAUUCUUCAUCACAGAGUCCUCAAUGGUAAGAGGACCAGUAGGGGAUAAGAAGGAUGAGCGCCAUAUGUUGUCUUGAGGAGACAUGGCUGCCUCUUCACCAAAGUUCAAGUCAAAACGACGGUCAGAUGGGCUAGACAUUUUCAUAAACGAUAAAGGAAAAAUAAGUCCAAUAAAUCUCUGAAGUACAAAAAUAAGGGGAAAAUUCAUACAAGCAAUAACUCUCUGAAUGUACUUCUUGCACACAAUUGGUGCCCCUAUAAAAGAAAGGGCAACAAGGCCGUUUGUUCAAAAAUCGAAGAGACACCACUCUUCGGAUUUCGAGAAGCGGAUUUUCCUGAGAAAAAUCUGUCGACAAUCUCCACACACAACAUCAGCUUCUCGGGUACCACAGAUAACUUUGCCAAAGAUCUCUGACAAAGUUUAGACACAUAAAAUUUGAAGGUCCAGCUACCAUAUUAUUACCCACAAGGUAAAUGAACAACACCAUUGCUUGAUAACUGAAAAGUCCGUAUGUGUGACAACCUCCGUACUUCGUGGCAAGGCAGACUGACAAAAAUGCCCAACAUUUACUCACAUUCGAGAAAACACUCCCAAGAGGAUUACUUUCUAAAAAAUCCCCAAUAAGGUUGCUUGUUCAAAAAUCGAAGAGGCAACGCUCUCCGAAUCCCGAAAGCUAAAUCCCCAACAGGAUUGCUUGCUUAAAAAUCAAAAAGGCACCGCUCUCCGAAUUUCGAGAGCCAGAUCCUCAACAGGAUUGCUUAUUCGAAAAUCAAAAAGGCACCACUCUCCGAACUUCGAGAGCAAGAUUUCCUUGGAUAAAAUUUGUCUGCAAUUUUCACAUGCAACAUCAACUUUCCAGAUACCACAGACCAUUUUUUCAAAGUGCUCUGACAAAGUUAAAACACUUGAAUCUUGCAACUCCCACUACAUUGCUAUGACCGAGAAGGGUAAAGGAAUAACAUUACUAUUCGCUGUUGGGACAAUUCCUAUAUAUGUCGACCUCCAUCCUCCACGGCCAGGCAGGCUUGCAAAUAAAAAAAAAUACUCAACUUUUCUUCACAUCCGAGAGGGCACUCCCAGCAAAGUCUCUCGAAAUACUCAGCUUUUUUUCCCCUCGAUAAUACCUCUGCAAACAAGCCACACCAGAGCAAGAGUAUCUCAUAUCAUCAAGGUUAAAAGCAAGAGUAUCCCAUAUCAUGCUUUUUCCCUGUCUUUUCCUUUGACUUUGCUCUUACCUGCAGGACAAGGAGAAACUUGAAAUCAAACUUCUGAUCUGGAACUGAUUGCCUGGAAUCUUUGCAUGGUUGCUUGCUUAACAUUGCUCUUGAGUACUCAUCCUCAACUGUUGUCAAGGUCACGAAGUCCUUCGACAAAUACCUCAGAACAGUUGAUACGAUAUUGACGCUUUACACUGAAGUUGCCACACAUGGAUGAGUCGAUGAGGGGUAGUGCUCUGAAGGACCAUUUAAAUGCAAAGGUUGAGCACCACUUCUGCGAUGCAAAAGAUUGAAGCAGAAGGUUCAACGAUGAGCUGGAACAGAUCACUACAGCACGAUGCCCUUCCUGCAGAACCGCACAACCCAGACAGAGGAGUCUAAAUCAAAUUCAAGCCCGGCAUCGCUGCCCUAUCCGAAAAGCUCGAGAUGCUUCAACAACCUUUUGCUAGCACCGUCGCCAAAGAGCAAAACCUUGACAUACCACAUUCGCUACUUUGUCGACAGUAAAAGUAUCCCAUAUCAUCAGGGUCGAACGUACUCUAGAUUUGAUGGACUUGUUUUGACCCUCAAAUUCUUGAGUCUGCCUUAUACUCUGGAGGAAACCAGAAAACCCUCUAGCUCAGUUCAAGAAUAAGCUUGUGGAAAGUUACUUCUUCAAAAGCAACAGUAUCUCAUAUCAUGUUUUUUCCCUAUUUUUUCCUCUGCCCUUGUUCUUACCUGCAAGACAAAGAGAAAGAGAGCAAUCAGCCAACAUUUGGAAUCAAGCUUCCAGUCAGGAACCCCUUGCCUAGUUGCUUACCUAGCAUUGCUCUUGAGUACUCAUCUUCAACAUCUUGUGCUUCCAGAGAAGAUACCACAUCUGCCUGAAAAACAGAUAGGGCAAGUGAAAAGGAUACAAAGAAGCAUGUGGAGACAAGUGCAAUAGAAGAAGUGCCGAUUCAUCUAUUACUUCUUCAAAAGCAAGAGUAUCUCAUAUCAUAUCUUCUCCAUGUCCUUUUCUUUAUCCUUGUUGCGGUCUGCAAGACAAGGAGAAGAAGAACAAUCAGCCAAAACCGGAGAUCAAACUUCUGAUCUAAAACUGAUUGCUUGGAACUCUGAUUGCUUACGUUGUCUAUCACCUCAUUUGGCAGAUCUCCUCACUCAGAGACUUAGGGGACUCCUACUAUAGGGUUUGUAUCGCGCUUAACCAAGCCCGAAACUACAAGUAAGCUUCAAGUGAAAUUAAUACAUUACCUUGUGCAUCUCCACCGGUUAGAGAUAGCACCCUUGGAUGCAGGAAAAAUACUUCAAGAAAAGAUGCCACAUCUACCUAUGAGACAGAUAAGGCAAGUGAAAAUGAUACCACACUUCGGUACUUAGAGUUUUGUGAUUACUCAAUGGCUUGGAUCUUGUAAGUCCCCAACCGAGGAGCUUCCCUCACUCGGAAACUUAGGGGAGCACUGUUUGUACCAUACUUGACCAAUCCUGAAACUACUGAGCACCAGUUAACGUUAUACUGUCAAGGAUCCAUAAGAGUUUCCCUCUAACCAGGAGGCCAAUCACAGCGCGACACGUGUCGACAUCAAAGGCCAAUCAUAGCGCGACAUGUGUCAACAUCAGAGGCCAAUCACAGCACGACACGUGUCAAAGUCAGAACAAGGCUAAAGACUCUCUUCUAUAAAAGGAGAUCAUUCUCUCACAAUAUUUCCUAAUGUCAUUUAUACUAAAUCAUUUACUAGAAAUCACUAAAGUAGAGUUUGAACCUAUGCACUUGUGUAAACCCUUCAUAAUUAAUGAGAACUCCUCUACUCCGUGGACGUAGCCAAUCUGUGUGAACCACGUACAUCUUGUGUUUGCUUCCCUGCCUCUGUCCAUUUACAUACUUAUCCACACUAGUGACCGGAGCAAUCUAGCGAAGGUCACAACCUUGAUACUUUCUGUUGUACCAAAGUCCUCACUGAUUUUGUGCAUCAACAUUACCAAUUGAUUUUAUGGUGAAAUCUCAUCUUUCUUCAGUGCUUUCACAUAUUGUUUAUAGUGCUAGUAGUGAGCUACUUUUCAACAUAUAUGUGGUUUAAGGUAAUCCAUUUUCUUGUAUUUGAAUUUAGAGAGAUCAAGUAAAUUCAGGGAGAUGUGAAAGAAAGUAGGCAAUACUGAAAAAUAGAAGCCAGCAAGACAGCUACUUGAUCACGAGUUCUCGACUUUUCUCCAAGAAAAGGAGAAAUAUGUACAAUAAUGUAAGGGUUAAGAAUCUGUAGGGAAAAUGCUUUAAGAUAAUUUGGUUAGUGAUUUACCUCUAAAAUCAAAGCCGACUGGCAAUUAGUGGAACUGGACUUAGUGGACCUUCAGUUCUUGCGUCAUUUCGCAUUACAGAAUCACUUUUUGGUUUUUUAAUAUAGCUAAGAGUAAAUUGUACCUAUGGUUUCUUAACUUUAACUCAAUUGGAGUAAUGGUCCCUCAACUAAAAAUCCAUUACUAUUGGUCCCUCAACUCAUCAAAAUGUGCAGCUAUAGUCUCUCAACUAAAAAUCAAUUACCAUUGGUCCCUUAACUUUAAUUCAACUGGAGAAAUGAUCCAUUAACUUUAACCCAAUUGUAGCAAUGGUCCUUCCAACAUAACUCGUUUUGACAAAAAUUUUGACGUAGUUGACGAAAAUGACCAUAAUUACACACUUUGAUGAGUUGAGGGACCCUAAUUAUAUAAAUGGUUAUUACUACAUAACUUAUUUUGACAAAAUUUUGACGAAAUUGAUGAAAAUGACUAUAGCUAAACAUUUUGAUAAAUUGACGGACCAAUGGUAAUGAAUUUUUAGUUGAGGGACCAUUGUUCCAAUUUGAUUAAAGUUAAGGGACAAUUGAUACAAUUUACUCUAUAGCUAAAGGGAAAUGCUUUCAACACAUAUUAUUGUUUAAUCUUAUUCGUUGUUUCUAUUUUCAUUAUACAAUCUGAUGACCAGAAAUACGGAGGGGUGCAUGAGAAGUUAAAAAUAGGGUGUGAAAAAUCAGCUCCCAUUUUUCAAAUAUUCUUUAAUCAUCUCUUUUUUCAUGGGUAAUAUGUGGAUUAGUUCUUCAAGUACUGCUCUCCUGAGGAACAAAGGUGAGCUAAAUCCCAGCUACAGUGCAGGUUAUUUUAUUAGGAAAACUAAUGAAAAGAGCUUGAAAACUUUGAGUUUUAAUUUUUAGUGUAAAAAUGUGGUUUUUCGUUAAAGUGAACAGUACCGUGGGCUUUUCGUUAAAACUCCCUAUUUUAUUUUUUCUCCUAGCCAAAAACCCUUUUCUAAGUAUGGCCUGUUUCCAUGGUUUCUUGGCUUUUUAUUAUUUUUCGUUCUUCUAAAUUUUAUUGUUUUUUAGUUUCUUCUACUACUAGUUUGCUUCAUCUUCUAGUUUCUUCUACCUCUAGUUUGUCACAUCUUUAAUUAUGAAAAUGUUAUAUUCUAUUUGUUUGAUGUCAUUCACACUUUAAUUUGAGACUUAACUAUAAUUUUUGAACUAUGCCAUGACAAUUAAUGCAUGGCACCAUUGACUAAUGUUCUUAGCCAAGCUACAAGCUAUAAGCCACUUGCCGGUACGCGACAUUAUUUGAGUUAUAUAGAUUUGGAUCCUAACAAGCCCUCAAAUAUAUGAGUUAUAUGGAUUCUUCACUUUUAUCAUUUUGUGUUACCACUUCUCUUAUUAUUAUUAUUUUUUUACUAAAUUAUGUCGUUACCAACUCAAUUUUCGUUGGUUUUAUGCAUUUAUUCUUCUAUUGGUGUUGAAAUUGUUGGUUUAUAUAUAUAUAUAUAUAUAUAUAUAUAUAUAAAGUUUGUAGCAAAACUUCAAUAUUUUUAAUCUAAAGAAUUUAAUUAUUGUUAGAUAUUGGAAAAUUAAGAUCAAUUAAUCACACUUAUAGCAAAACAAAAUUCAAGAUGGUGGUCGCACGCUACACAUAUUACUAGUUUAUUGAACCAAAAAACAUCUAGGAAUGCAGUACAUGCAAUUUCUCACAUCUUCCUAGCCAGAUGAUUAUCAUUUGAGGCUACGGCCAACAAUUAAAAAAAAAAAACCUUAAGAAGCACGAACAAAAUUACAAAAAUCAUCAAUAACAAUAUUGUUAAAGGUGAUAUCUAGCUUUUCCUUAAUAGCACACAAUUCACUAAAUUGUCGAAGUUCUUGGAUGAAGAACCGUGAGGACUAGUAGCUUCUUCUGCAAGUUUCUUCCACUCCAUCACCUUAUUUUUCAUCUUCUUAGCCUUCUCCCCCUCCACUAACUCUAUAACAAGCCUCUCUACUUCGUCCCUCUUCACAUCAUUAUUGAUUUCCAAGCCAAUGCCCCAUUCCUUGCAAGUAUAGCGGCAGUCCAUUUGCUGGUCGGCAAAGAAUGGCCAACAGAGCAUAGGCACUCCUGCAGUCAGGCUCUCAAUAGUUGAAUUCCAACCGCUGUGUGUUAAAAAUCCUCCAACUGAUGGAUGGUUAAGGACAAGCUCUUGUGGGCACCAAUUUGCUAUUAAACUUCUUUGUUUUGUUUCAGCCACAUACGCAGGUGGCAAAAUCGCUGAUUCACCAAUCACCAAAUCGGGUCUAAUUACCCAGAAGAAAGGCAGCUUGCUGUUUGCUAGUCCCCAUGCAAACUCGACUAGAUGUUCAGGUGUCAUGACCGCUAUACUGCCAAAAUUCACAUACACAACUGAAUUUGGCGCCUUACUGUUUAGCCACUCGAGGCAUUCAGUAUCUUCUUUCCAUAGACUGUAUCCAAUAUUCAAGUGGUGUUCAGGUAUCUGAUUGAGAUGUAAUUGAAGAGGGCCAAUGGUAUAAACCCGUGGAAGCAUAGAUGAGAGAGCAUCCAAAACAUCUCGCUCCAAGGCAUCAAAAGUAUGAAGAAUAACUGCUGAAGCUUCAUGCGCUCUAUCUGUUGAUUCCAUCACGAAGUUGAAAAAUAUGUCCUCAGGAUUUGUGGUUCGAAGGAAGGUUGGGAGAUCCUUCAAACGGAUAUCCUUCACUCCUGGAAUCCAAUCGAUAACCUUGUCCAAAUAGCCAUUUGUCAAACAACUCUCAUCUACAACACGAAAUUUUUUAUACACAUAAGCAAUUAAAAGUGUUAAUCGUAAAUAUCAGUUUGUCCAAUAGUUGUAAAUAUUUAACCUUUGAGUGGUACAAGUCCUUUUUCGACCAAAGAACGAAAUUGUAAACAGCCCAUGAAGCUGCAUGCAGCAAUAGUGUAAAACAGUACUAUAGGGACUCCAAUUUCUUCAGCAGCUGUUAUUGUGAAUAUGGACAUGGAACCAUCUGAAAUUAUGCAAGUCACUGGAGGAUUGUUGGUUGUUGAUAUGGCAUCAUUGUCGAGUUUUUUGAGGAGGGCACGAAAGGGAGCCAAGAAAUUCUGUUUUCUGACAGAGUCAGCGAGCAAGGUGACAUCUUGGGUGCUAUCUUCAUCUGAAUCAGGAAGGCCAUCUGGGAUGGCUUCAAACCGAAAAUCAGGCAAGCCGUCAAGGGAGUUGGGGCCAAUAGAUCUAAGAAAGCGCUUGUGGAUGAACACUGUGUUGACAAAGGUGAUAUGAAAACCUCUGUGGUGGAGGAGCUUUGAGAAUUUAAGCAUGGCCUUGAUAUGGCCUUGAGCUGGAACUGGAAUACAAACAGCAUGAGGCUUUUUAGGUACUUCUUUGGUAUACAUCCUCUAUUUUCUGUAUGCCUUUUUUUUUUUGUGGUGCAGAGUUGCAGUGUUUGCAGAAUGCACACUAUUGAUAUUUGUAGACUAGUGAGCACUAUUCAUUAUGUUUGUGUGAGGAGGCUAAGGUUUCGCAAUAAAAAUUUUUAUGAGUACAUGCAUGGUUUGGUAACUUUCCAAUGUGGGAUAUUUCUUCGUUUUCUCACACGUUACCUUAUGGGUGGAUAAUCUUCAAACCCAAUACGUAGAUAACUGAGUGACACGAAAUACGUAUGGCCGUUGGACUUUACAUGUGAGCCAACUUGCUCUGAUUCCAUGAAGCAUAUACAAGAUUUGUUGAAAUUCCGAUAGGGGACACUUCUUCACAUACAUUCAUUCCUAUUCUUAUCUUCACACAAGUUCAGGCAGUGAAAUAAUCUUGUUUGAAGAAUCUUGAAUGAGUGAUCCAAAUUAAAUAAUUAGUCAAUUGUCUUGUAUUGAAGUUUUCAUUGAUUACCCUGUGGAUUUUUUUUGUAGGUCAAAGAAGAUUGCUGCAGUGACAGAAGACACAUAACUAUGUAAGAUAAGGAAUACAGAAGGAAAAGACAGUUUUGAAGAAAGUUCUUUUGGGGCUUUUAUUGGCCAAAGUAGGAUUGGAUUUGGCUAUUUAACAUCAAUUCCAAUUUGAAUUAAACAUGAGGUUAAGUAACAACUGAAUAAUUUCAGAUUAUACUUUUUUAUGUGAGCUUAUUCUAAACCAUUUAAAGAGGGGCCUAAAUAGAACAAAAUCAACGCCAAGCUAAACUAAUCUAAAUUAAACUCUAUAAUUAGUUCAAAUCAAGUCAAUUUUAUGGAUCGAGUGUGCCAUUUAUGUGACUACUAUCAGUGUAAAUGGGCUUUUCCGAUGAUAACUCAAAUAUUCGUUUACCAUCUUAAUUUGUAUUUGGUUAUAUUCACUAGGUCUGGUAUUGUUAUUGGUAUUGCUGGAGAUUUAUUCCAAAGUUUCCAUAUAAAAGUUUUGUUUACGUUUCCGUUUUUUUCAAUCAUGCAGCUGCAAUGAAUAUGUGGGGUAACAUAUUAUAUUGGUCAUCAUGCACAACCACACUACCAAACAUUCAAAGGGUUGAGGUUGGUCUACCAUUUAUUAUAUGAUGCUGAGAAUGCCUCAUACUCAGAUAGUUCUAAAACUUAGAACAAUAAUAAUAUGGUAAUUUUGAGAUAGUUCUAAAUCACGUAUCGACAUCUAGGUUUAUUUUUAUUUUUAUUAUAAAUGAUCUUUUAUACUAAUCAACACUAACGGAAGAGACAGGGAGUUUUGAACUCGGGGAAUAGUUGGUAGUUCUAAAUUACAUACUGACAUCUAGUUCUUUCUUAGUAGAACUUGAUUCACUAAAUUGUCUAAGUUUUUGGAUGAAGAACCAUUCGGCCCAGUAGCUUCUUCUGCAAGUUUCUUCCACUCCAUGACCUUAUUUUUCAACUUCUUACGCUUCUCUCCCUCCAUUAACUCGUUGACAAGCUUCUCUACUUCAUGCAUCUUCACAUCAUUACUCAUCUCCAUCCCAAUGCCCUAUUCAUUGCAAGUAUAGUGGCAGUCCAUUUGCUGGUCCCCGAAGGAUGGCCAACAGAGCAUAGGCACUCCUGCAGUUAGGCUCUCAAUUGUUGAACCGCAACCGCUGUGAGUUAAAAAUCCUCCUACUGAUGGGUGGUUCAGGACUUGCUCUUGUGGGCACCAACUUGCUAUGAGACUUCUUUCUUUUGUUUCGGCAACAAACUCAGGUGGAAAAAUUGUGGAUUCACCAAUUACAAGAUCAGGCCUGAUUACCCAAAAGAAGGGCAAUUUUCUUUUUGCAAGUCCCCAACCAAACUCGACAAGAUUUUCAGGUGUCAUGACUGCUAUACUACCAAAAUUCACAUACAUGACAGAAUCUGGCGCCUUAGCGUUUAGCCACUCAAGGCAUUCAGUUUCUUCUUUCCAUAGACUGUAUCCAGUAUUCAAGGGGUGUUCUGGUAUCUGGUUGAGCUGUAAUUGAAGAGGGCCAAUGGGAUAAACAAGUGGAAGCAUAGAUGAGAGAGCAUCCAACACAUCUGUCUCCAAGGCAUCAAAAGUAUGAAGAACAAUUGCUGAAGCUUCAUGAGCUCUAUCCGUUGCUUUCAUCGUGAAGUCAAAUAGGAUGUCAUCCGGAUUUGUGGUUCAAAAAAAAGUUGGUAUAUCCGUUGCUUUCAUCGUGAAGUUAAAUAGGAUGUCAAACAGAUCUCAUCUACAACACGAAAAUUUUCAUUUGCAUGUUUAGAAAAUAAGAAAUAAAGAAUUAACCAAAAAUUAAGCAGUUGCUUCAAUAGUUGUAUAUAUUUCACCUUUGAGUGGUGCAAGUCCUUUUUCAACCAAAGCACGAAAUUGUAUAAAGCCCAUGAAGGCACAUGCAGCAAUAGUGUAGAACUGAACCGAAGGGACUCCAAUAUCUUGAGCAGCAGUGAUUGUGACUGGGGACAUGAAACCAUCUGAAACUGUGCAAGUCACUGGUGGAUUGUUGGAUGUUGUUUAGGCAUCAUUGUUGAACUUAGUGAGGAGGUCACGAAACAGCGCCAGGAAAGUAUGUUUUAAUAUGGAAUCGCAGAGUAAAGUGAGAUUUUGGGUGGCAUCUUCAUCUGAAUCUGGAAUGCCAUCUGGGAUGGCUUCGAACCGGAAAUCAGGCAAGCCAUCUAGGGAAUCGGCUCCUAGAGAUUUAAGAAACCACUUGUGAUUGAACUCCGUGUUGACAAAGGUAAUAUGAAAACCUCUACUGUGUAGGAGUUUUGCAAAUUUAAGUGUUGCCUUGAUAUGGCUUUGAGUCGGAACUGGAAUGCAAACAGCGUGAGGCUUAGUAGCUACUGUUGUGGUAUCCAUUUUGGAUUGUGUGUUUGCAUCGCGGUGCAGCGUGUUAACAGUGCUAGUAGUGAGCUACUGUUCAACAUACAUGUGGUUUAAGUUGAAUGGUAGUCCAUUUUCUUGUAUUUGAAUUUAGGGAGAUCAAUGUUUUAAAAAACUAGCCUUGGGGCUCGCCUAGGGCACCUUUGAGGUUGGGCGCAAAGGCUAACGCCUCUGUUUUGCUGGAGUGGACGGAAGGCGGUGGAAGGCGUCGCCGGCUAGGCGGCGGAAGGCGCCUCCAGAGCUACCUAGGCGUGCCUCAGGGGAAUUUUUUAUUUUUUUUUCACUCCCAAACCCAAAUUUUGGGUUGGGUUUUAACUGCCUCAUACAUCUUCCUUGCAAUAUCGUCUCUCUGCCUUUUUUCUGAUUUUUUUUUUAUAUAUAAUAGAUGUGUGUGCUGUCUGCGUGCAUUGUUAUAUGUGUGCUCAUUGUGCUUUUCAUCCUCUAUUAUAUAUAUAUAUAUAUAUAUAUAUAAUAUAAUAUAUGUAUAUAUAAUAUAUAAUAUAUGUAUAUAUAUAUGUGUGUGUGUGUGUGUGUGUGUGUGUAUAUAUUUGUAAUAUUUGUGUGUGCUCAGGGUGAUUAUUGAUUAAUAAUCUUUUUUUUUUAAUAUAAUAUAUGUUGUUGUGCUAGGAUAGCACUAAACCCGUUGGAACCAACUUAAGCUAACCCACAGGAAAUAUAUCAAAUGGAAUGCAAGAACAAAAUAUAAAAGAACACCAAGAUUUUAACGAGGUUUCUUAACAGUCAGUGUAACUGGAGUACGUCCUUGGAGCAGUAGGAGCUCACCCAAUAAUCCACUAUCAACCAAAUGGGAGUUUACAAAGUGUUGGCAAGCUCACAACCCAAAAACCCGAAUACAACCAAUAGCUCUCACACACCAAAGAAACAAAUAGAGAAAGAAAUAUUGUGAAUAAUUUCUUCUCUAUAUAAAGCUCAAAGCUAUUACAACAACAACUACCUUGGUGAGUGAUUACUAACCAAAGAGAAGAGCACCUUCUUCUUCUUUUUCUGCUCUCAGUUUGUUGUUUUCUGCAGCUGCCUUUGCUUUCUCAAAGAUGGGCUUCUAAAUCAGAGAAUGGUGUACUCUACCUCUCUCACUUCCGUAUGCUCACAUUCAUCCAUCAUAAAACACCCAAUAACAAAACCAAUAAUAAGGCUACUUGCUAGCCUUUACCUCUUUUUCUACAAACAUCAUCAUAACCUUUUUUUCUUUUCAACAAACAUAAUGAUGUUGUCUACCUCCUUUUGUUUAUUUUAUUUAGCCAAAAGUUGGCCACUUGGCCACUAAUUCAACAAUCUCCACCUUGGCCAAGUUUCGAAAAUGCCAUGAUAAGCCAACCAACACAAUCAACACAAAAAUUACUCCCAAACACUAGUAAGAGAACAACUCAUGCCAAGUCAAAUUCUCCAAAACUCCUACUGCUCAAUGCCUUCUUUAUAUAGGCAAAAUGUGAGCCAAGUUUAAGCAAUGAACAAACUUAGCUACACCAAAAAUCUUAGUCAACAUAUCAGCGGGGUUGUCUUUAGUUGGAAUUUUCUGGAGAAUGAUUUCCCCUUCACCAACAAUUUCAUGAACAAAGUGAUAACGCACAUCUAUGUGCUUGGUCCUCGCAUGAUGAACCUGAUACUUAGCCAAAUAAAUAGCACUCUAACUAUCACAAUGUACCUCCACCUACUUCUGAUCAACCCCCAAAUCUCUAAUCAGCCCAUGUAUCCAAAUGGCCUCUUUUAUAGCUUCAGCAACUGUCAUAUAUUCAGCCUCUGUAGUAGACAAGGCAAUAGACGACUGCAAAAUGGACCUCCAACAAACUGGCCCCUUAGCCAUAGUAAACACAUAGCCUGUAGUAGACUUCCUUCCAUCCAGGUCACUUGCAGAAUCUGAAUCAACAUAACCAACUGCAAAAUGACCAAUACCAGAGUCAUCUCCCUCAAAGCAUAAACCAACGUCUCGAGUACCAUGGAGAUACCUCAAUAUCCACUUAGCUGCUUGCCAAUGCUCUUUACCUGGAUUAUGCAUAUAUCGACUCACCAUGCCAACUGCAUGAGCAAUAUCCAGUCUAGAGCAUACCAUUGCAUACAUCAAACUACCAACCAAAUUUGCAUAUGGUAUAUUUUUCAUUUGCUGUUUCUCUUUAUCAGUUUUAGGACAUUGUAGAGAACUCAAUUUAAAAUGAGGAGGCAAAGGGGUACUAACCGGUUGGUUGAAUCAUGAACUCCAAACUUCCGAAUCAACUUCUCAAGGUAUUUUCUUUGAUUCAAACUGACCAAACCCAUCGCUCUAUCUCUAGUGAUCUCCAUGCCCAGGAUCUUCUUCGCUUCACCAAGAUCCUUCAUCUCAAACUCAUUCUUCAUUUCCUUCUUGAAUUUCUCAAUCUCUUCAACAUUCUUUAAGGCAAUCAACAUAUCAUCAACAUAUAUCAAAAAAUAAAUGAAGGACCCAUCUUACAACUUCUUGAAGUACACACAAUGAUCAUAUUGACUUCUAGAAUAAUUUUGGCCUCUCAUAAAUUUAUCAAACCUCAAAUACCAUUGCCUUGGAGAUUGCUUCAAACCAUAAAGUGAUUUCUUCAAUUUGCAAAACAAAUUCUCCUUCCCUUUCACUGUAUACCCAUCCGGUUGACACAUAUAGAUCUCUUCAUUCAAAUCACCGUGUAGGAAAGCCGUCUUCACAUCAAGUUGCAUAAGCUCAAGAUCAUACUGUACAACAAGAGCUAACAUAAUGCGAAUUGAGGAGUGCUUCACAAUCAGAGAAAAGAUUUCAUUGUAGUCAAUGCCCUCCUUUUGUGCAUACCCUUUAGCAACUAAUCUUGCUUUGAAUCUCACAUUGCUUUUCUCAUCAGCAUCUUCCUUCUUGGUAUACACCCAUUUGCAACCGAUAGCUUUCUUGCCCUUAGGCAAUUUAGAUAACUCCCAAGCCUUGUUUUUCAAGAGAGAAUUCAUCUCAUCACCCAUGGCAUUGCACCACCUCUCCUUCUCCUCACUCUCAAUGGCUUCCUCGAAAUUGGAUGGAAUAUCAUGAAUGAUAAUAGGAAAAGCAAAAGCAACAUAGUCACUAUACCAAGCCGGCUUGGUAAUUUGUCUCUUUCCUCUGUUCUUGGCAAUAGACUCUUGAGGUGAAACUUGCUCUUCAAGUUCAACUUCUUCAACAUCCUCAUGGUCUCCAACUUCUUCACUUGUAGUGACUUCGACAUCAGUGGAAAUAGGAUUUGAAGUACCAGAGGCAACUUUCUCAAGCUCCACCUGUUGGACAUCUUUCACAUUCUUCUCAAAGUCUUUGUACAUACUUUCUUCAUCAAAUGUCACAUCUUUACUGAUUACAAGUUUCUUCAUUUCUGGGCACCACAACCGGUAACCUUUGACACCACUACUAAAACCAAGAAAGAUAGCCUUUUUGGCUCUAGGAUCAAGUUUAUUUUCAGUUACAUGAAAAUAAGCAGGUGAACCAAAAAUAUGAAUAUAAUCAUAAUAAGUGGAAGGUUUUCCAGUCCAUACCUUCAUUGGUUUCUUACCCUAAAUAGCAGCUGAGGGUAACCGGUUGAUGAUGUGACAUGCAUAAGUAACUGCCUCUACCCAAAAUGACUUGCUCAAACCCGACUAAGACAACAUACAUCUAACCUUCUCAAGCAAGGUUCGAUUCAAUUUUUCUGCAACUCCAUUUUGUUGUGGAGUUCCCCGAACACUGAAAUGUCUCACAAUCCUUUCCUCUUUGCAAACUUUAAAGAAAGGGUCGGAUGUGUAUUUACCACCAUUAUCCAAUCUCAAAAUCUUAAUCUUUCUCCCAGUCUGGUUCUCAACCAUUUUCUUCCAACUCAAGAAAAUGCUUAAUAUCUCACUCUUGUGCUUCAUAGUGUAGACCCAAGACCUUCUUGAAUAAUCAUUAACGAAGGUUACGAACCAAUGUCUACCACUCAAAGAGGGAGUCUUUGUAGGACCCCAAACAUCCAAAUGCACAUAAUCAAGAAUGCCCUUCGUCUGAUGUACUGCAGUACCAAACUUCACUCUAGUUUGCUUUCCCAAGACACAAUGCUUGCAGAAAUCAAGCUUACAAGUCGUGGCACCUUUUAGAAGACUUUUUUUCACAAGCCCUUGUAAAGCUUUCUCACCGGCAUGGCCUAAUCUUAUAUGCCACAAUCUAGUAGUAUCUGAAUCAGAUGUGCCCAUAUUUUCUGAGACUACAGACGCUUCACUUGUCACGGUGCUUCCUUGCAAUAGAUACAAAUGACCACAUCGAGGAGCUUUCAUCACAACAAGUACACCAUAAGUAACUUUCAAUGUCUGCCCAUUUGAAUGAAACCUGAAGCCCUUGGCUUCUAAAGUUCCCAAAGAAAUAAGAUUUUUCUUCAAAUUCGAUACAUACCGAACACCUGUCAACUCUUUAACCAUGCCAUCAUGUAACUUCAAACGAACUGUACCAAUCCCUUUUGUUGUGCAAGGAUUGUCAUCUCCCAUGAACACAACACCACCAUCAAACUCUUUCAAGCUUGAAAACCAAUCCUUGUGAGGAGUCAUAUGAUGAGUACAACUCGUAUCCAACACCCACUUAGUAGCACAAUCAAAUGAUGAGGAAGUGAUUAAAGCAAAAUCAGAAAAGUCUGUUUCAACCUCAGCAACAUUAGCUUCAAAACUUUCUUUGCCUUUGGUCUUCAACCUAGGACAAUCUUUCUUCCAAUGGCCCUUAUUAUGACAAAAGGCACAUUCAUCCCUUUCCAAGGUUUUUCCACCUUUAGAGUUUCCUCUAGGUCGAGAGUGUGAUUUUUUCCUACUAGAAGAGGAUCUCCUCUUCGAUGAUCUAUCUCUAACAAAUAAAGCUUCAGAGGUACUAUCAUGAUUUUUAUCUCUAUGCCUCAUUUCAUAAUUCAUCAAGGCAUUUGACACAUCUUCAAAUUUCAUAGUUUCUUUACCAUGCAUAAUAGUGGUAACAAAAUGCUCAUAAGAGUCCGCCAAGGAAUUCAACAAUAUUAAGGCCUUUUCUUCAUCCUUAAUAUCCUCAUCUAAAUUUAACAAGUCGGCAAUCAACUUAUUAAAAGCAUUAGGGUGUCUAAUCAUUUUUGUACCUUCUUUGUAUUGGAAGCGGUAGAGCUUUUUCUUCAAGUGUAGCCGGUUCUCUGCACUAUUCGUCAUAUACUUGUCUUCCAAUUUUUGCCAUAACACACUUGCUACUGUCUCCCGCAUCACAAAAUACUUCUGAGUUUUUGCAAGGCAUAACCGAAUUGAAGAGCAAGCCCACAAAUUUAAUUUCUCCCAUUCUGGCUUCGACAUAGCUUCUGGCUUCUCUCCUAGAGUGGCAAGUAGAUUUUGUUGAGCCAACACAUCUUUGACCUCACAUUACCAUAUCCCGAAGUUGUUUGUGCCGUCAAACUUUUCCACUUCGAACUUUGCAUUUUGCACUGUAGUUCUUGCAAACCCGGAGUUGCUUCCAAAAGGAUUCUCAUCUUGCCCGUUUGACAUCUUUGGCAACUAGACAGUACCCAAGAGCAACCAGUGCUCUGAUACCAAUUGUUGUGCUAGGAUAGCACCAAACCCGUUGGAGCCAACAUAAGCUAACCCACAAGAAAUAUAUCAAAUGGAAUGCAAGAACAAAAUAUAAAGAACACCAAGAUUUUAACGAGGUUCCUCAACAGUCAGUGUAACUGGAGUACGUCCUUGGAGCAGUAGGAGCUCACCCAAUAAUCCACUAUCAACCAAAUGGGAGUUUACAAAGUGUUGGCAAGCUCACAACCCAAAAACCCCAAUACAACCAAUAGCUCUCACACACCAAAGAAACAAAUAGAGAAAGAAAUAUUGUGAAUAAUGUUUUCUUUAUACAAAGCUCAAAGCUAUUACAACAACUACCUUGGUGAGUGAUUACUAACCAAAGAGAAGAGCACCUUCUUCUUCUUUUUCUGCUCUCAGUUUUUUGUUUUUUGCAGCUGCCUUUGCUCUCUCAAAGAUGGGCUUCUAAAACAGAAAAUUGUGUACUCUACCUUUCUCACUUCCGUAUGCUCACAUUCAUCCAUCAUAAAACACCCAAUAAACAAAACCAAUAAUAAGGCUACUUGCUAGCCUUGACCUCUUUUCUACAAACAUCAUCAUAACCUUUUUUUCUUUUCAACAAACAUAAUGAUGUUGUCUACCUCAUUUUGUUUAUUUUAUUUAGCCAAAAGUUGGCCACUUGGCCACUAAUUCAACAUAUGUGUAUGCUGAGUAUAUAUAUUAAAAAAUUUAGGUCCCGUGAAGCUUCGCCUCACGUCUAGGCUGGGUUAUCCUUCGGAUGCCUCGCCCAUGCCUCACGCUUUUAAUACAUUGAGAGAGAUCAAGUAAAUUCAAGGAGAUGUGAAAGAAAGUAGGCAUUCAUUGCAAUAUAGAAGACAGCAAAACAGCUGCUACUUGAUCACGAGUUCACUUUUCUCCUAGAAAAAGAGAAAUGUGUACAAUAAUGUUAGUGUUAGGAAAAUGCUUUAAGAUAAUUUUGUUAGUGAUUUACUUUAAAAUCAAAGCCGACCGGCAACUAGUGGAACCGGACUUAGUGGACUUCCUGUUCUUGUGUUAUUUUGCGUUACAGAAUCACUUUUAGCUUUUUGGUAUAUUACUAAAGGCAAAUGAUAAACGCACUCUUUUUUUCUUCUACACAUAUAUAGGGGUGCGUUAGCUCCCAUUGCUAAAAUAUUCCGUAAGCAUUUCAAUUUUCGUAGUUUACAUGUAUAUUAGUUCUUCAAGUACUGCUCUCCUGAGGAACAAAGGUAAAUAGAGCUAUAGUUCCAGGUCAUUAUUCUUAGAGGACAGUUGUUGCUAAGUAGAGAGCCAGCCAACAUUCUAUCCCAUUGUCCGCAGUAAACCUAUUGAUUUCUUCUUCUCCUAACCAACAACUCUUCUCUAAGCACUAGUGACUAGGCCAUUUAGUCAAUUUCCUCAAGUAGUUGGCCUGUUUUCAUGGUUUCUUGGCUUUUUAUUAUUUUUCACUCUUCUAAAUUUUAUUGUUUUUUAGUUUCUUCUACUACUAGUUCAGUAGUUUGCUACGUCUUCUAAUUUCUUCUUCUUCGUAUACUUUUCUCUGAGCUCCAAAACCACGAAGUAGCAUAAUAGCGUUGUUUCUUUUCAUAUUCAAGAACUUCAUUCAAGUUCUUUUGCUACAAGUGUUAGUUAUAUUAAAAUAUUUGGAAUGUUUUGAUAGGUUAUUUUUGAAAACGUCAUUACAACAAUGACAUGCUAUUGAAGUUCGGAGAAAUCUUUUUAUUAUGGCUAAAAAAAAGGUAAAUUAGUUAGCCUAAAGCUUCAGCCUGGCCGACUAAAAAUUCAUAGCUCCAUCCCUAACACACGCGCCUACUCAAUUCAGUAAUAAGCAACAAUGCGCUAGUUCUUCUAUUCAUGUCGAUACUGUUGGACUUGCAAUCAAAAAUUUCCAUGACAAAGAAGAUCAAUUUAACUAAAACAAUAACCAAAAAGAACUGAAGUUGUAGUAGCAGGAUAAACACGUUGCUAGUUCUUUGCACCAGUAACAUUUAGGCAUGCAAUACAUGUUUCUUCUUAGUCCUUAUGCAGAGCAUCUAGAUCUUUUUAAACUGAAUCGAUUCACUAAUUUUUCUUAAGUUUGCAGAUGAAGAACCGUGUGGACCAGUGGCUUGCUCUGCCAAAUUUUUCCACUCCAUGGCCUUAUUCUUCAUACGCGUACCCUUCUCUCCCACCAUUAACUCUCUAACAAGCUUCUCAACAUCAUCUCUCUUUACAUUUUUAUCAAUCUCCAUAUCAAUGCCCCAUUGUUUGCAAGUACAGUGACAGUUUGUUUGCUGAUGAACAGCAAAGAAUAGCCAACACCGCAUAGGCACUCCUGCAGACGCACUUUCCAUUGUCGAAUUCCAACCAUUGUGUCAAAAAUCCUCCAACUGAUGGAUGGUUAAGGACUUGCUCUUGAGGGCACCAACUCGCUAUUAGACUUCCUCCCUUAGUUUCACCCACAAACUCGGGUGGCAAAAUUGCUGAUUUACCAACUACCAAGUCAGGUCUAAUUACCCAGAAGAAAGAAACCUUGCUAUUUGCUAGUCCCCAACCAAAUUCCACAAGUUGUUCCGAGGGCAUGACCAUUAUGCUGCGGAAAUUCACAUAAACAACUGAGUUUGGAGCCUUAUCGUUCAGCCAUUCGAGGCACUCAUGUUUCUUCUCUCCAAUCUCCAUAGGCUAUCCCAUGGACUUCAAAGGGUGUUGCGGAUUGUUAAUAUCAUUUUUCUAGAGGAAGUUAUGGCCGUUUUAACACUGAAAGGUUCACAAGAGGCUGAACAAUUUAUAACUAUAAUGAAAGUAAUAAACCCAAUAAAUUUAGCAACCAAAACUGAUGCAGUCAAGAACAAGCCAGCUGACACCUAUUCAAAUAUCAAAGGAAAUGGAAUUAAAGAUGAGGAUUAAGAUGGAGUAAUUGGCAUAAAGGAUGCCCAAAGAGUUACAAUUGUUUAACCAUUUUCCUCACUUAUUGUCAUCACUAAAUUGCUAUUAGUGGGGGGGCGGGAGUUAUUGAAAUGAUGCAGCAAGAAUUGGUUUAAAGGAGCAUUAGGGGAGGAAAUAAAGGGCAGCUUUUACAUAUAUAAAUUUUGAAAAAGAAAAAAAAACUGCAGGUUGCAAUGGAAAGGAAGGAAAAAACACAAGGCAUCAGCAUUGGAAAGCAAUAAUGGUGGAAGGAGGAAAUCUUGACAUUCUCUUCUUUCGGUUUUAUCUUCUCAAACUCAUGUCUUUCUUUUGGUUUUAUUUAAGGAUUAUGUGUAACUAAUUUUUAGAAGUUAGGGGCUGUUUUGAAGCCCCGAAUAUGAUUGCAAGUCUGUUAUGACAUUUCGUUUGAAUUACUUUUAUGAAUGGAAGAAAAUUGGUUCACUACUUAUGUCAGUGAUGAAUUCUUUAUGUGUUUUCUACGGAUGCAUACUUGGUAAGCAUAUCUAGAAUUCUAAUGCUAUAAAUAUGUGUGUGCUUGCCCUCAUCAAAUGAGGACCAAUAUAUGUUCUAGAGUAGCUCUUGUUAAUUGCGAUUAACACAUGAACCAAUUUCUAGGAUAAGUAAGACAAUGCUAGUACUUACGAUGCCUUGUGAUGACUCAAACUCUUUCGUUCUUAAUGAUUUCUACUUGUUAAAUCUAUGAACACACCAUUCUAGAUUGCAUGUUAGGGACUAAGUUAAGUUGAAAACGUCAUUCUCUUAACAUACUACAUAAGAAAGAGUAAUAGGUUGAGUUCAAACAUUGAGCCAACUUGAGCAUCUUCAUUUGAAAAUAAAAGGAAUUUGAAUGAAACAUAAAAUAUUUGCAUGAUUAUUUGGUGGUGGAUAGCAAUUCCCCUAACUCGUUUUUCUUAAUUUGUGAGCUGCUUAAAAUAUGUUUUUGUCCUGUUUUUGUUCGAUUUAUUUAAAUAGCAAAUCAACUCCAAAAAUUUGUGUGAGUGUAGCUCUGUGUGUCUAGUGUCUUCAUAUAAAAUUUUGUAGACUUUAGAUAAGUGUAAGUUGGUCUAAUAAUUAUUUUUCGAUGGCUAGUCAGUAGGGACAGUAUCCCAGUUUUUGUGACAUUUUAAGUAGUCAGAUAAAACAAUCUUCUGCAGGAAAGACCCUUAUUUUCAUAUGUUGCAAUUGACAAAUCUUAUUGUUAAUAAGGAAAAUCAAUAGGAUAUUUGUGUGCUACUUUGUGGUGUGCUUUGAAUCCUAUCAAAUUUUUGGCACCGUGUUGCCGGGGAUUGUUAUUUCUAAUUACUUAUUUUUUUAUUGUUUUGUUUUCUUCUAUAAUUAGUGUUUUUGUUUUUGUUUUUAUUUCAUGUACUCUUUGUAGUAUAUGCAUACUCGAAGGACCAAGAGCAUUAACCUAUCUUGCGCUUGAAUGAACACUUCGAAAGCUUCAAAGAAAAAUCAAGCAGAAGCGUGCAUCGGUGUCUUUACCACCAUCUUCUCCACCACAUUUGAGUUCGAAAGAAGAGGAAGAACCACAAGAAGGCAUGGCUGAUAACCGUACUUUGAGGGAGUUGGCAACGCCAAAUACGGAUCAACAACCAUUGUGCAUCACAUAUCCAAAUGCAGAAGGAGGAUUUGAGCUUAAGUCCGGCAUGAUUCACUACUUGCCUAAGUUCCAUGGCUUCUCAACAAAGGAUGCCAACAAGCAUCUCAAGGAGUUUCACGUGGUAUGCUCAAGAAUGAGACCAUCAAAUGUGGAUGAGGAGCAAGUCAAGUUGAGUGUAUUCCCAUUUACAUUAGAAGCUAAGGUAAAAGAGUGGCUUUAUAAUUUACCUCCGGGGUCAAUGAACACAUGGAACCAAGUGAAGCAAGCAUUCUUGGAGCAAUAUUUUCCGGCCACAAAAGCUGCAAGCAUAAGGAAAGACAUAUGUGCAAUCCGACAACAACAUGGAGAGCCCUUUGGAGAUUACUAUGAGUGGUUCACGCAUUUGGUUGCAUCUUGUCCUAAUCAUCAGAUUUCAAAGCAUCUUCUAAUACAAUACUUUUAUGAGGGAUUGUGUGGUACUGAUCGUGUAAUGCUUGAUGCAGCAAGUGGAGGAGCAUUCAUGGACAAGACACCAACUAACACUAAGGCACUGUUAAAGAACAUUGAUGGCAACACACGACAAUUUGGAGUGAGAGAUGAGCUACCUCUUAAGAAAGUUAACGAGGUAAGUGCUAAUUCUAGUAUUGAAUUACAAUUAGCUAACUUGACUAAUCUUGUGCAACAGGUUAUGGUGACUCCAAAACAGGUGUGCGGUGUAUGUUCAAUGAUGGGACAUGUGCCCUUCGUUGAUGGAUUAAGGUGGUCUUGAGCAAGCUAAUGCGUUAGGAGGUUUUCAGGGGCAACAAAGGCAAUAGUAUGAUCCAUACUCCAACAACUAUAACGCGGGGUGGCGCGAUCAUCCACACUUAAAGUGGAAUAAUCAAGACAACGGACAACUAUUUGUUCCUAACAUCUAUAACCGUCCACCUUGCUUCUUUCAAGCAAGACUGCAGGCACCAUUUCAACCUCAACAACAAGAAGCUCCAAGUAAGUCUCUUGAGGAUUUAAUUGCUUAUUUAGCUAACUCUACUCAAUCUUAUCAACAAAAAACAGACAAAGCAAUUGAAAAUCUUAAGCGCCAAAUGAGUUAGUUAACAAGUUUGAUGGGGCAAUAACACUAACCAAGAAGGUUGCCUAGCCAAACCGUGGUGAAUCCAAAUGUAGAGCAAAUGAAUGUUGUGACUUUAACGAGUGGAAAAGAAGUUUUUGAACAGUCGAUGAUACAAAAGAGGACUAGAAAAGAUAUAAAUGAGCGAGGGGAACUACAAACCAAGAAUCUUAAGCAAGAUUAGGCUUCAACAGAAACUGAAAAGUCUCCUAAAGCUACAGAAUUGAACAAAAAAGAUUCUGAUAAGGUAAGUAAAGAAGUUCAAAAUUCAUUUAACUCAUGUGUCCUUGUUCUUUUCCUGGUAGGUUAUGAAGUUUAAGAAAGAGCAAACUAAUAAGGAAAUCUUAGAUAAUUUCCGGAAAGUCCAAGUGCCAAAGUAUGCAAUGUUCCUUAAAGAGCUUUGUACAAACAAGAGGAAAUUCAAUGAUCCGGAAAUUAUGGCAUUAAGCAAGGAAGUAUCAACUAUUUUGCAGAGAAAGCUGCCACCGAAGUUGAAGGAUGCCGGUAGUUUUACCAUUCUAUGUGUAAUCGGAGGGAAAAAGUUUGGGAGAGCACUGUGUGAUUUGGGGGCAUCCAUCAAUCUGAUGCCAUAUUCAGUGUAUAAAUCAUUGAACUUUGGAGAGUUGAAGGAAACAAAGGUAGUAAUACAGUUGGCAGAUCGUUCAAAUAGAUAUCCCAAAGGCCUAUUGGAGGAUGUAUUUGUAUAAGUGAAUGAACUUAUUUUUCCCGCUGACUUUUUUGUUCUUAAGAUGGAACAUGACCCUAUGCCUACUGCACUUCCUCUUAUAUUGGGAAGACAACUUCUUAGAACGGCACGUAUGAAGAUUGAUGUCUACAAUGGUACCUUAACCAUGGAAAUUGAUGGAGAAAACGUUAAGUUCAGAAUCUUCAAUGCUAUGAGGUACCCUAGUGAUUUUGAAUCUUAUUUGUCUAUUGAUGCGUUUGACUAUUUUGUGCAAGAUUGUUUUAAUGAAGGUGUGGAACAAGAUAAUUUAGAGAAGGUGUUAGUGCAUAGCAUUACACAUGGGAAGCUUAAUUAUUCCGAGCACAUUGAAGAAGAAUUAAACUUUUUCGUGGUAAGUCUCUUACACCAAUUCGUGGUAAGUCUUCUUCCUAUUUUAUUUCUCUUCCUACUUCUAAUGAAAAAACUCUUCCUUUUAUGAUUCAGGCACCCAAAUUGGAGCUUAAAUCAAUUCUUGAACAUUUUAAGUAUGCAUUUUUGGAAGAGGAUGAGACAUUACCGAUUAUCAUAUCGUCAGAACUUACAGCAUAAGAGGGGGAGAAACCGAUCAUGGUACUGAAGGAUCACAAAAAUGCCAUAACUUGGAGCAUUGCAGAUAUCGAAGGUAUAAAUCCAGCUAAUGUAUGCAUAGGAUUCUGGUGGAGGAGUGCAAAACCAACAAGGGAAGGUUAUUGCCGUUUGAACCCACUCAUGAUGGAGGUCGUCAAGAAAGAGGUUAUCAAACUUCUUGAUGUUGGCAUCAUAUAUCCUAUCUUAGACAGUAAGUGGGUGAACCCUGUUUCGAAGCGAUCCAAAGUCACAGUUGUUAAGAAUGAAGCUAGUGAGCAAGUGCCUACACAUGUGCAAAAUAGUUGGAGAGUAUGUGAUGCGUAAAUUAACUUAACACACAAAUUAAACCCUCUUGUUGACAAUUGUAGUAUAUGUAUAAGUAGGGAUCGUUCUUAAGCUGGGGAUUAUGAGGGAUUGCUAAACACUCUAAACUGACUCAAAUAGAUAAAACUAAGCUUUAAAACACUUAACUAGACUCAAAAGACUCAAAACAAACUAAAAAAAAACUCAAAACAAGCUAAAAACACUCAAAACUGCCUAAAAACACAAACUGGGCAGUUUUGAGCUCUAAACACAAUUUGGACUAAAUUUGGGUUUCUAAAGGCUUAAACCACUUAAAAACACAAUCUAAGACAAGUUCUAACUAAUAUGACUUAACAAAGUAAAGGGGUUUUGGUUUUGGACGAAAAUAAAUUAAUUAAAACAAGAACAAUUUAAACAGAUUCUUAAGCAAAUUUAGGUGAAUUGAUGGGUGAUGGGUUAACUAGGGAGUUCUUCUCCACACAUGACACACUUGCAUUCAAAUUGAUUUCCAAUUGCUUCUCUCAAUAAGUCAUGAAACUCAAUACUCCAGGUUAACUGUGACAGCACUUUUUUAACCUUCAAGUUCUCCUUAAGUUAAUGAAUUGGAUGGGGAAGCACAUACAACAACUCAACGCAUUCUCUAAAAGUCCCCUAUGUGAAAAGCACAAUAGAGGUACAAUCAAAGAUCAUUAAGUUUCAUGAAAACUAUAAGCAUUGACGAGGCAAUUGUUACUAUGAAAAGCAUAAAACUUUUGCCAAGAAUUCACUUAACACGAUCGUUUAUAAGCGACCUCCACUACUUGCAAAUAUAAGUUUGUAACUAUUAGGUGAAACUCCCUUAUAUUUUAGCUUCAAAUCCUUGCAUGAAAACUAAGUGUGCACUCUUAAUAAACAUACAAGAAUAAGUUAUCAAUCAAACGGUUAAGCAAAUUGAAUUCACAACUUAUGAAAUAACAACUGAAGGUAAUCAAUUCAUAAUGCAAGUAUAAUCAUGGUAUUGAAUAGCCCCCUAGCCAAGAGGGGCUUAGUUCCUCAUGUUCGCAAAACAAAGAUACAUAAACUUAAACAUUGAAAACAAAAGAAAGAUUACACCUAGAAACGCUCCAACAAUCAAACGUCUUGAAUGGCAAGCACGUCCAAGGGUCUCCUUCUUUCUUCUUUGCUGCGACACAAGGGUGUUUGGUGAUGAUUUGUGGUGAAUUGUGGUGGUGGAUGGAUGUAGGUAGGUUAUGGUGAAGGAUGGAAUGCUUAGAAUGGUCAGCAAGGGCCUUUUUUUAUAGGGGAAGGAAGGGCUACGAAUUUGAAGUGGUUUUAGGGAAGGAUUUAUGUAGGAAAAGGAAUGUGAUUUUGGUUCAGAAAAUAUGCAAGAAAGGUGCAGGAAUUAAAGAGAAAAGGAAAGGGAAAUUCGGUAGAAAUUGUAGGACAGAUUUAGGAAUGUGUUUUGAGGCACAAAAUAGGUAAGAAUCCUAUCCCCUUGUAUGGCAAGGCUUUAGAACAAAGGGGAAUGUAAUUUUGGUCAGAAAAUAGGUAAGAAAGAGGGGAAAGGUGUGGUUGGUUGCUUGAAUAAAAAGGAAUGUGGUUUUAAGAUCAGAAAAUAGGAAAGAAAGGAUGCUUUUGUGCGGCAAGGACUUUAGGGAAGGUUUAGGGCUUCUAGAACAACCAAUUAAGUGCCCUAAUAUGUUUUGGAAUCCCUUUGUGGCUGGAACAUAGGUGAGGAAAGAUUAGGAAACUUCCAAGCCACAAAUAGAAACUAUCAAGAAUGGAAACCUCCAAGAAUAGAAUCUUCCAACUUUAGAAACUUUGGUUUCCAAUUUGAAUACUUCGUUCUUUAUUUGUCUUGAAUCCAAUUCUUCACAUCAUCAUUCAAUCCUAUGCUCAUUUGAUCUUCAAUUUCGUCCAUCUUCUUACCUCCAAGCAUAUGCAAUCCAUUUGAUGCCCAAAACUGCUCCAAAAGUCUCCAAAAUGCACAUGUAUGCAUACUUUGUCCUUAAAACCUGAAAUUGCAUGAAAAUAGCUUAAAAUACUAAAAUUUCUAAGUACUAGUAACAUAAAUGCAAGGAAACAAGCUAAUUAAGUCGCAUAAAUAUGCUCCUAUCAAAUUCCCCCACACUUAGCUUUUGCUAGUCCUCGAGCAAAACAAAACAAAACAAAACACAAUCUAGACCUUCCAACAAUUGUCUUAGGGAUUUCCAAUGCAUAUGACAUGCUAAAAAUCAUUACUUACACAGAUUUUAGUCAUCCUUACCCUCGAGCACAUACUUAAUCGUAGUCACCAUUCACUAGUUCACAUAUAAUCCAUUAAAACAACAUUUUUUAAUGUAGUAACAUGCCUUAGAGAAUUCCCUCAAUUCCUUACUAGAUAUGCACUCAAUUUUCACUCAGAUUUUCUGACUACACACCCUACACUAGGUAUAUGUGAGAAGAUUGAUGUAAACAUGAAAACUAGUACUCACAUAUGUUAUAGCAAAGAAAGCACUUUUCUGGAAUUAUUAAUGCAUGUAUAUAUAUGAUCUCAUGAACGGAAUGCUACUACUUAGAAGCGAGAACCAGUGAUAUCAUAUGCUCAUACCAAUUCCAAUCUCCACAUAUUGAAGUGCACAACACUCAAGAUUGAAGUCUAAGGGUUGUAACGGGGCUAAGGGUAUUGGUUAACAAAGGAAGGUAAGGAUAAACAAAGGUUCUUAAAGAAAUAGUAAGCAAAGUAAUGAAAUUGACACUUAGAAUUUACUUUUGAAUGCAAAAAUAAACUUUUAAACAUAAUGGAAGAUUCAUGCAACACUUAGGGUCAAAUUCAAACUUUUGGACCCUUUUUUUUCAACAACCAACACAUGUGAGUUCAUUCUCACUUAUUUUUCAACUCUUUUUCAUACUUUUCACACACUUUUCUUCUUCUUUUUCUUUUUCCACGAAUUUUUUUUUAUCUGCCCUUUUCUUUCUUUUGACACACAAAACACACUUUGAAAACCCUUCCCCCACACUUGUUUUUCUGCAAAAAUCAAAAGGAAUUCCCUCUAAGUCAUGCUUCACUAUUCUUUAAGAACAAGGGUGUGGACAGUCCUAAUCUAGGCUAGGUAGGGAUAAUGUGGUUAACAAAGAAAAUAGGCUAACGAAGGCUCAAAGGGGUUAAACCUACAAAACAUAUGACAAAAGGGAUAGCUUUUUGGCUUUGGUGGUAACUAAACAACUUCAUCUUGAAUAUGUGUUAUGCACUCAAUAUCAUGCUUUGAAUGGAACGGGCAUGAGUUCUAGUAUUUGGAUCUAUAAUGAUGAAACGCAUUCUAAGUAGCAACCAAGCAAAGAAUGAUGAGAUCAUGCAACGACUUUAGAAAAUAAGAAUGCACAGAUUAAUAACUCUCCAAAUAAUGUUUAGGCUCAAGUCUCACAGGGUUGUAGCGUUAAUUUGAGUUCCUUCCUUCAAGCAUGUUACAAAAACUAAUUUUUUUUUCUUUUGUGAUUACAUGUGAAUUCGUUAACUAUAACUACAACCAAGCAUAAACCAAAGAGCAUAUCAAACUUCCAUCCAUGUUUAUAACUUUCUUUAACAGUCAUGCACUUAAAAACCAAAUCCUCAUCAUUGUGUUGGAAGGUACCCUAAGACACAAACAAACACACAAAAACAACUCUUUUUGGCUUUUUCAAAACAAUUUUUCAAAUUUUUAUCAAAUUUUCGGAUUUUUACUUCAACACACACCAAAACAGCUCAAAAUGCACUAAAAACAGUGAGAAACAACUUAGAAAUAAUGGGUGAUAAAAUCCCACAAAUUUGCAUCAAAAACACUUAGUUACCCCCCACACUUAAAUCAAACAUUGUCCUCAAUAUUUCAAGCAUAAAAUCACACCAAACAAAAUUAAACACACAAACAGCAACUUAAUCAACUAAACUGGGUAGAUUAGAAAGAAUCAACAAAGAGAAAGGUUUUAGGAAUUCAAAUCUGGAAUUGGAGUGAUUCCUAGGGCUUCCUUUGUUGAAUGCAUGGGUUGCCUCCCAAGAAGCGCUUGCUUUAACGUCUUGCAGUCGGACGAUACUUCUCUUUAAGCUCCCCUAGGUCCCAUAGCAUGGAAUUGAUCCUUGAACGGAAGGUGAUACUUGAAGUGAUCCGACAAUGGUUUAAAUUCGAGAGUGGGUGCCUGAAUUAUUAACAACCUUUAAGUAUAAAACGUAAUGGAAAUUGGAGAACGUGACUUACUUGCUUUGUCCGAUAAGAACUCAAUGACAAACACCACUUCUUUGAAAGUUUCAGGGACUUUGAAUUUGGCCAGAUUUACUACGAUGGUUGUGAUUUGUCCCGUGUCAUUAAACUCAACUUCUUUGGACUUUGUUGUUUUAACUACGUCCUCUUUGAUGAAUUCUUGAUAUUCUCUAGCCACUACUUUCUCUUGAAUCAUUCUUCUUGGUGAACAAGGUUCUUUGAAUACUUCAACAGAAUCUGGAACUUGAUUUGGUGUGCCAAGAAUUGCGAUAUCACUUUGCACCUUGGAAAGAGCUUCCACAAUGUCUUUUUCACUCUCUUCUUGCUUGGGAAUCAAAAACCUGCGAGGAAAAGGGACAUUGGGUGGAAUAGGGUUAGAAUUAACGAAAAUUAGACCCAACUUACCUGUAUUGGACAGUGGUGGGGCAUUGGGAGGCUGCGGCAAGGGUGGUUCUUCCCUUGUCGUGGCCUUGUCAUCCUUUUCUUCUUCGAACAACAGCUAUUCUUCCAUGUUUUGGAUUGGUUUGGACGUUUUUGGGCUUGUUCCAACCUCCAUGCCACUUUCCAAAGUGAUAGCAUCAUGGAUUUCAAAAUUUUCCUUCAAAUUUUCUAUAGUUGAGUUGGAGAGUUCACUUUGCUCUUGAAUUUGUGCCAUGAACUCCAUAAUCUGCCCAAUUUGCUCCUCCAAUUUGCCCAUCUUCGUGGCUUGAUUUUGCAUCUCUUUGUUUUGAUUUUCUACUUCCUAAUUCAAAGAGGUGAGUAACUUAUUCAACAUAUCAUUAUCCAGAGACGUACCUGAAUUGAAUUCAGCAGAUUGUUGUGGGGGCUGUGAUGGUGCAUAUGGCCAUUGAUAGAACUCUUCUUGCUGCCAAUACCCACCAUGUUGGAAUUGUUGAGGUUCUCCCUUCAUGUAAUCUGAAUAAUCUCUCCAAUCCGAAUUGUAAGCGUUGGAAAACAUGUUGUCCCAUGAUUGGCUAUGGCAUUGAUAACCCCAAGCAUCUUCAUUUGCAGCGAAUUGAGAACAUUGAUGAGUUGGAUAUCCUUGCCCAUAGGACACACCACAUGUAGGGACACUUUGCAUUGUGGUCCUUCCGGCAAUCUGUGACAAUUGAGAAGUAAGAUUCGCCAAUUGAGCUUGAAUGUUAGCAAAAUCCAUGUCUUACUUCUCUAGUACCUGAAAUCAAAGAAACAAAACUAAAUCAAAUAUCAAAAGUAAAUAAAACAAAGCAAAACAAAAUCAGUAACUAAACAAAAGACACAAAAAAAAAACAAAAAAAACAACGAGGGAUUAGCAAAGUUGCUAAUCCCCGGCAACGGCGCCAAAAUUUGAUGCGUAAAUUAACUUAACACACAAAUUAAACCCUCUUGUUGACAAUUGUAGUAUAUGUAUAAGUAGGGAUCAUUUUUAAAGCGGGGAUUAGGAGGGAUUGCUAAACACUCUAAACUGACUCAAAUAGAUAAAACUAAGCUUUAAAACACUUAACUAGACUCAAAAGACUCAAAACAAACUAAAAAAAAACUCAAAACAAGCUAAAAACACUCAAAACUGCCUAAAAACACAAACUGGGCAGUUUUGAGCUCUAAACACAAUUUGGACGAAAUUUGGGUUUCUAAAGGCUCAAAACACUUAAAAACACAAUCUAAGACAAGUUCUAACUAAUAUGACUUAACAAAGUAAAAGGGGUUUGGUUUUGGACGAAAAUAAGUAAAUUAAAACAAGAACAAUUUAAACAGAUUCUUAAGCAAAUUUAGGUGAAUUGAUGGGUGAUGGGUUAACUAGGGAGUUCUUCUCCACACAUGACACACUUGCAUUCAAAUUGAUUUCCAAUUGCUUCUCUCAAUAAGUCAUGAAACUCAAUACUCCAGGUUAACUGUGACAUCACUUUUUUAACCUUCAAGUUCUCCUUAAGUUAAUGAAUUGGAUGGGGAAGCACAUACAACAACUCAAAGCAUUCUCUAAAAGUCCCCUACGUGAAAAGCACAAUAAAGGUACAAUAAAAGAUUAUUAAGUUUCAUGAAAACUAUAAGCAUUGACGAGGCAAUUGUUACUAUGAAAAGCAUGAAACUUUUGCCAAGAAUUCACUUAACACAAUCGUUUAUAAGCAACCUCCACUACUUGCAAAUAUAAGUUUGUAACUAUUAGGUGAAACUCCCUUAUAUUUUAGCUUCAAAUCCUUGCAUGAAAACUAAGUGUGCACUCUUAAUAAACAUACAAGAAUAAGUUAUCAAUCAAACGGUUAAGCAAAUUGUAUUCACAACUUAUGAAAUAACAACUGAAGGUAAUCAAUUCAUAAUGCAAGUAUAAUCAUGGUAUUGAAUAGCCCCCUAGCCAAGAGGGGCUUAGUUCCUCAUGUUCGCAAAACAAAGAUACAUAAACUUAAACAUUGAAAACAAAAGAAAGAUUACACCUAGAAACGCUCCAACAAUCCAACGUCUUGAAUGACAAGCACAUCCAAGGGUCUCCUUCUAUCUUCUUUGCUGCGACACAAGGGUGUUUGGUGAUGAUUUGUGGUGAAUUGUGGUGGUGGAUGGAUGUAGGUAGGUUAUGGUGAAAGAUGGAAUGCUUAGAAUGGUCAGCAAGGGCCUUUAUUUAUAGGGGAAGGAAGGGCUACGAAUUUGAAGUGGUUUUAGGGAAGGAUUUAUGUAGGAAAAUGAAUGUGAUUUUGGGUCAGAAAAUAGGCAAGAAAGGUGUAGGAAUUAAAGAGAAAAGGAAAGGGAAAUUCGGCAGAAAUUGUAGGACAGAUUUAGGAAUGUGUUUUGAGGCACAAAAUAGGUAAGAAUCCUAUCCCCUUGUAUGGCAAGGCUUUAGAACAAAGGGGAAUGUAAUUUUGGGUCAGAAAAUAGGUAAGAAAGAGGGGAAAGGUGCGGCUGGUUGCUUGAAUAAAAGGGAAUGUGGUUUUAAGAUCAGAAAAUAGGAAAGAAAGGAUGCUUUUGUGCGGCAAGGACUUUAGUGAAGGUUUAGGGCUUCUAGAACAACCAAUUAAGUGCCCUAAUAUGUUUUGGAAUCCCUUUGUGGCUGGAACAUAGGUGAGGAAAGAUUAGGAAACUUCCAAGCCACGAAUAGAAACUAUCAAGAAUGGAAACCUCCAAGAAUAGAAUCUUCCAACUUUAGAAACUUUGGCUUCCAAUUUUGAAUACUUAAUUCUUUAUUUGUCUUGAAUCCAAUUCUUCACAUCAUCAUUCAAUACUAUGCUCAUUUGAUCUUCAAUUUCGUCCAUCUUCUUACCUCCAAGCAUAUGCAAUCCAUUUGAUGCCCAAAACUGCUCCAAAAGACUCCAAAAUGCACAUGUAUGCAUACUUUGUCCUUAAAACCUGAAAUUGCAUGAAAAUAGCUUAAAAUACUAAAAUUACUAAGUACUAGUAACGUAAAUGCAAGGAAACAAGCUAAUUAAGUCGCAUAAAUAUGCUCCUAUCAGUAUGUACAAACUAUCAGAAGAUAAACAGCACCACACGCAAGGAUCACUUUCUAGUCCCAUUCAUUAAUCAAAUGUUAGAAAUGUUAGCUGAUCAUUCUUAUUAUUGCUUUCUUGAUGGGUAUUCUGGAUAUAAUCAGAUUGCAUUUGCUCCGGAUGAUCAAGAAAAGACAACUUUCACAUGUCCAUUUGGCACAAAUCUCAACAUUCCUUCUCUAAUAAUCGAUGGACCUUCUUUCUACGUCUCAGCACCACUUCCAUCAUCAACUUCACCUCCGUUUGCUCGUACUCGAUCCAAGAUCUACUCACUUAGAUUGACCGCCUACUCGUGUGUUCUUGCUUGGCUAGCCGAUAGCACACCAUGCAUACUUGACCUGAGAUUUAGUCGUGGUCGCUCCGAGAGCGAUGGGUUAGUUUUUUCCCUUUUGUUGACAGGUAAUUUUUUCGUCUAAUUUUUUUUUUUAAUUUUUGAAUUUUCGAUUUAAUUAUUUGUCUUAUUCAAUUUCUAGGCUCUUGUACGAAAUGGGCGAAAAACUAGUACUCUUGGAAAGGAUUUGGCGAAAUUCCUAUUACCUUAUUCAAAAACUGUGAAUUUCAGCUGAUUUUUCCCCUUUCCAGCUUGAUAUUUUAGCGGAUCAAGAUUUAGGUUGCUCUCGGUUCUAUGGACUUCAUUGAUGAUUUAGCAUCUCGGAGUUUGGGUUCUUACCAAUUUCGGUUUCGAAGAUAUUAUUAUAGAUAGCAGGGUUUGUAUUCGACUAUAAUCUGGCUGAACUCACAAGCUCAUAUUUGUAGUGAUGGAGGAUAUAGGGUUGUCUAGACAAGCUUGGAAAUGGCUGCAGUCACCGAAACACAUUUAUUCACGAUCGCGAACUGCAAUCGGUGGGUGUGGAGAUAAAAUCGGGAUGUUUGUAGAGCGGCAUUGGUUUAUGUACUUCUUAGUAUGGUAUGUUUCCUUGGUAUUUCCUUUUUUACUCAUGAGCAUUUAGUUGUUUUUUUUUUCAAUGCCUCGUCUUCUAUUACAGUCGUUUAAUUUGAUUAUUAGAUGGAAAAGAUGUUGAUAUCAGAUCUCCUCAAUUGGCAUGGUUGUGGUGUAUAGGAAACAGGAUCUGAGAGAAAUUUGUGGAAACUUUCAAAGGAAUAUAGUUAAAUGUUAUGUUUUUUGCAAUUUUGAUUUCAAAUUUCUAUGAGAUUUUAAUUUUUUAAGUAGAGUACUUGGCAUGUUUGUGGUGUUAUAGGAAACAGGAUCUGAGACAAAUUUGAAGAAACUUUGAAAGGAAUAUGGGUUAAGUGUUUAUGUUUUUGCAAUUCUGAUUUCAGAUUUCUUUUAUUAUAAUCUGAAUAUGUAGUUUAACAUUUUUGAGGUCAUUGAUUUUUUGGGUGCAGUACUUCUUAAUUCUAAGAAGAGGAGAUUUGACUCUGUAAGUGCAGGUCUCAGAUUGCUUUGCUCUUUUAGUGUAAGCACAUCUCUGCAUAUCUUUAUUUCCUCGAUUAUAUUUGACUUUGUUAUGUUGAGUUGCCAAAUUAAAGAUAUUGCACUACCUUUUCGAUACUACAUUAAAUAUGGAACAUGCGAAACAUUAAAUUUUGAGUGGUAAUUAUUGAACAGGGGCUGCAUUUUAAAUUGACUAAUAAAUGGUCCCCAUGGUCAUUAGGUAUUCGGAUGAUAGCCCCUGUGGUAAAAAAAUUCGGAUUUAAACUCAUGUGGUCACAGUCUGUUAGGAUUUAAACCCCUGUGGUCUAAGUCUGUUAGGAUUUAUGCCCUUCUGUCUUUCCUCCAUUAGGUUUAGGUUGGCAAAAUCGGAUAAAUGGUCCUUGUGGUCAUAAGGUAUUCGGAAGAUAGUCCAUGUGGUAAAAAAAAUUCGGAUUUAAACCUCUGUGGUCUAAGUUUGUUAGGAUUUAUGCUUGAAACUAGAGGUUCUGUCAUUUCUCCGCUAAGCUUACAGGUGGAGCAGAGUUUCUCUGAGGAGACGCGACAGAACGAGGUGGAACUAAUAAAUCACAUAAUUCAUUAAAAUUCAAGAUCUAAUAAAUCAAAUAAUUCAAAAUGCCUUUAUAAAAUUAACGAGUUUUUGACUCCCGAAUAUCUAACCGAUUAAUUAAUUCUUUACUAGCCUCUUGCCACAUGCAUACGCGUGUGGCAAUUGACAUUUUUAUAUAUCUUUUAUUUAAAUAAUUAAUUUACAUAUUUUAAAAAAUUUAUUUUAAAAAAAAAAAGAAGAAGAAAUGAAUUAAAAACGUGAAACCACCCACUAAUGUGGGAGGAUUUUUUUUUUCUAUAAUUUUAAAUAUUAAAUUCAUUCAAAAUAAAAAUAUGGUUAAAUACUUUAGCUUCUUUUGGUUCAAUUGUAAUUUAUGAAAUUUUUAAAGGACAAUUUAUGGUAUUUUGAAUGUAUCAUCAUUUUAGGGUGCUCACUUUAUAUAUAUAGAUAUAUAUCUUUUAUUUAAAUAAUUAAUUUACAUAUUUUUAAAAAAAUUAUUUAUAAAAAAAAAAUGAAUUAAAAUUUAUUUAAAUCCGAAAUUUUUUUACCACAGGGGCUAUCUUCCAAAUUCCUUAUGACCACGGGGACUAUUUAUCCGAUUCGGCCAACCUAAACCUAAUGGACGAAUGACAGAAGGGUAUAAAUCCUAACAGACUUAGACCAUAGGGGUUUAAAUCCUAACAGACUGUGACCACAGGGAUUUAAAUCCGAAUUUUUUUUUACCACAGGGGCUAUCAUCCGAAUACCUUAUGAUCACGGAACCAUUUAUCCGAUUAGGCCUUUUAAAUUUGUAAACAUCCACAGUAAUGGUUUGGGGUUUGAUAGUUGUACCAAAUCUCUUUUUCUUAUUCCCAUGUGCAUGACCAUGUGUAGACCUUUUUGUAGCUUUCUAAGUUUGGGUUUUUGUUGAUGUGUGCUUACGUGAUUUGGGAUUACUUUCCUUUGCAGGCUUGGGUAUUAAAGCCUUGCGCUUUUAGAUUAAGGUAAAGUAUGAUUAUAUCUUAUAGUUAAUUCUGAUGCCCAUCGCAAGGUGUAUAAUUUUUUUCCAUUAUACUUAUGUGUUCUAUCAAUUAAACUCCAAACCAACUACUAAUCUCCUAAGUUCUUUAAAUUUAGGUUUGUUAUAUGUUGUAGGAAAUGACAUUGUUUCUUUACAUUUGAAAGAGUGAGAAUUAUAUUGUUGGGACUUUGGAUUCUAUUUUUAUGUCCUAAUUUUGAAACUAGAAAAUGAGAAAAGAAUUGUGCAGGUUCAUUUAAAGCCUUCAUAUUUGAUGUUCUUAUUCUUGAGAGAACCGAUAUUCACUUAAAACCUCAAUCUCAAUUUGUAGGCAAUUUUGGUUUUUAAUUUUUUUUUUAAUAAGUUGAUAUAUUGGGCACAAUAACAAUAAAUGUGCUAACAUGGGUGGCAACAAUCAUCUGACAACGUUGUCAGAACUAGGCACAAAAGAACCUUUAUUUGUGCUUACACUUUUCAGCACAACAUACGUUAUUGUGCUUUUUGAUCAAAGGCAACGCGUAUAGAGGGCACAAAUAGAAAUAUAGUUGAUGCACAGUUGCUAUUGGUCUAUGGGCACAAUUGUUGGUGCUUUUUGACCUCAAAGGGCACAUAUAAUUUAUUAUGUGCAGUGCCCAAUUUUUUGUAGUGUAAAAAAGUAAUUUCAUUUGCAAUGUUUACAAUAUUUGAAGAGAAAUCUUCAUGGACAAUUCUCAUGACAAUUUUUUUAUUUUUUUUACCAAUGCAACAACUGUCGUUCAUGAAUGUUGAACGUAGGACCUCUCCAACAAAGUGGAAAGUGGGUGCUACUAGAUUAAUUGGCCACGGGGUGACGACAUUUGUUGAUUGAUAAUAGAAAAUCAAAGUAGAUAUCAUAUAUUUUGGACGUUUUCAUUGAAUAAACCAAAGUAGAAUCAAGUGACAAAAAUAAAUAUUGGUGUGAAAGAGGAGAAACGGAUUGGUGGGAAAUUAUCUCCCUUACUUUUUCAAAAUGGAAAAGUGCAAGAUGGCUUGCAAGUUUCCUAAAAUUAACAAUUGCUAUAAUUCUUUACCUUUGAGGUGUGCUAGCCCUUUUUUCACCAAAGCAGGAUACUGCAUACAGCCCAUGGAGCUGCUUGCUGAAAAAGUAAAGAAGAGUGUGAUGGGAAUGACAAGUUGUUGAGCUGCAGGGGUUGUGAAUGGCAUGAAACCAUCUGAAACAAUGUAAGUCACUGGGAAGUACUACUAUUGUUGAGUUUCUUUAUCAGAUCAACAAAAGGUGCCAAGAAGUUGUUUGUGAUGGAAUCAGCAAGCAAAUUGAGGUCUUGGGUGGCACCUUCAUCAGAAUCUGGUAGGCCAUCUGGGAUUGUUUCAAACCGAAAAUCAUCAGGCAAGCCAUCGAGGGAGUCCGGUCCUAAAGAUUUAAGUAACCGCCUGUGAUUGAACUUGGUGUUGACAUAGGUUAUACGAAAACCAUUAUGGUGGAGAAGUUUUGCUAAUUGAAGCAUUGCCUUUAUGUGACCCUCAGCCGGAACUGGAAUACAAACAGCAUGAGGCUUGCUAGAACACAUCUCAGAUCUGUGGAUAACAGUGUAUAUGCUUAUUGUAUGUCUGUAUUUUAGCAGUAAUGUAAAUAUUAUGGGUAUGAAUCUAUGAAUUUGUGCUCUAUCUUGAGGUAAUGAGUGGUGCAAACUUACAAAAAGCAAGGGUCGGAUGUACAAUAGUUUUGGCAAUGCCUAUUAAAUUAAAGGGUGAAGACAGUCAAAUUAAAAGAACGAAUUAACAAUGUGAAGAAUAGUCAAAGCGAGCUCCCCGAUCAGGCAUUUUUCAAGAUAACAUUUAAGUAGCUAAGAUGAUCACGUAAAUAAGUACUAUAGGCACAAAAGGAUAUAUUCCCAAUUAUAAAACAUAUUUCAAGUCGCAUUCUGAGCUUGUUUUUUAUGAUAUAAGUUGCGUUGAGGUACCAAGUAAAAACAAAAACAAAGAAGAUAGAGGCUAGUUUUUAUAAUAAUGUUUAUUUUACUUAUUAUCAAUGAUUGAUUUGUUUAAACAGUAAUUCAGGGAGAUUUGAAGGAAAGGGGAACUUUUGAGUAAAUAUCAUUCAACUAGUGGACAGUGCAAAGGGAAACUUUUGAGUUUUGAGUAAUAUGGGUUUGGACCCAAAUAUCUCUCUAGAGAAAAUUCAAUUGAGCAAAAGAGAUAUGCUUCACAAUAAGGGAGCGUUUACGUAUCCAUAAUCAGAAUUAAUUUACGAAAUUGGAUUCCCAUUACGGAGUACUCCUUCGUUUACUUAACUUUGGGGAAUUAAAUUGUAUGUGGGGUCCACACCAAUUUGGGAAUCCUGGGUGACAUGCCCCAAUCCCGGUGUCCGAAGGACAACGGGAUGGCCGAUACCCAAGGGUGACGCAAGCCAUUUAUGAAUGCAUAUGCUAAGAACAUGUAAAACAUACAUAAAAAUUUCGCGCAUAACUACGCAACGUAAUAUUCAAAUACAACCUUUACAAAAUAAUAUAAUAAUAUUCAACUGCCAACAAAAUAAUGGUGAUGAUGCAUGACAUGUUCGGAGCAUACUACAAAUUCAGAUUACAAAGAAAAUGGUCCUACACCGAGAGGACUCAAAUAUACCGAUGUUGGAGUGCCUUGACGUCAAGAUUGUACACCUCGAUUCUAAGUCUUGAGGGGCGUAAACAAAACAUGAGUAGGCCAAGUUUAUAUAUAAGUAAUACUAAUAUAGUUAUUCUUCAACAUACUAACCCCCAAAGUUUAUGAAAACUCAUCCAGCAUAAUAUGUAAUAGGUUUUCCGAAAACCCUAGCAUGCCAUAAAAACUUCAUAAAACAUAUAUUAUAUAUAGUGUGCUUAGUAGCAUCAUAAAGGCAUAUAUAUAUAUAAAUCUUCAUUAACCCGAAGGCAUUUCAUCACCCGCCCGUAGGCAUAUAUAUAUCUUCAUUCUUCAUUCGCCCAUAGGCCCUACAUCACCCGAUCGAAGCCAUAUAUAAAUCUUCAUUCGCUCGUAGGCCCCUACAUCACCCGACCGAAAACCAUUUAAUGAUAUCAUUCGCCCGUAGGCAUAUAUAUAAGCACAUAAAUCAUAAACAUAAUAUUUCCAAAAUAUAUCUCAUUGAAACUCAAUAACUCAAACAUCAUAUCAUAAAUCAUGUUUAUUGUAUAUAAUCAUAAAUCUUUCAAAGAACGUAAAUAUGAUAAAACAUGAUAUUUCAUAAGGCGUAAAUCCGUUUUACUCAUAAACGUUUCAUAAACGUAGUCAUAAAAUCAUGUUUUUCAUGUAUGCAUUUCUAGUAAUUAAAUCAUGCAUUUUGGAAGGGGUCCACUCAUAGAUACUCUGUCGAUGAAGAGCCGUUCAAACUAGGAAAGACGGAAACGCCACUAACAAAUGCACCUAAGCACAUAAAAGGACCAAUUAAUAAAACUUUACUCAAACGAAAUCCUAAAAAGUCAACCCAAAAGUCAACGGUCAACGUUGACCAGAAGUCAAUGACUGACUCAGCUGAGCCAGAGCUCAUUAAUAUGGGAUUUUUGGCCGGAAGUUUAGACAAUUUUCAAAGUUUCGUAACUCACUCAUUUCUUAAUCAUAUCAAAAUGGAGCUAGGAAAGUGAAGAACAAGAUUAUACCUAUUUGGAACCCAAUGGUUCCCUGAGAUGGCCGGAAAAUGGCCUGAAAGGUGACUGGUCCUUGGGUAAACUAGAAAAAACUCGUCGGAAACUGGGUAAACUUUAAACGUUCAUAAGUUCUUCAAUACUCAACGAAAUCGAGUGAUUUAAAAACAAAAAUUAUACUUCUUGACGAGACAAAGAGAAUGCUACCUUGUACUAUGGCUAACUUGCCAUCGUUUGGCCGAAAAAUGCCUCGAAAGUGGUGGUGCUUGCUGCAAAAUGGGGAAGCUUCCCCUAUGAGAUUCCUACAUCCAAACAUCACCAAUACUUCUCAAAACUACUUCCAAACAUACACCAAGACAUGAUUUACAACUUUUGGACAAGGUUCGAGGCUUACUUUAGCUGAAGAACGUUGAAACUCGUUGGAAAGCCCUCAGAGAUGGUGGUUUGAGAUAGAGCUGAGAGUGUAAAGAGGGAGAGAGAUUAGAGAGUUGUGAAAAGGAGAGAGUGUGUUCAGACAAAAGAAAGAGGAAUGAGGUGAUAAGGAGGGAAAAGGGAGGAAACAUAUGGGCCCUAGUGGCUCACAAAACAAGGUCACUAAGGACGAAACACAAAAAUAUCCAAAAAACUUUUGAUGUUUCGAAAUGUAAAAACUUUGUUAUAAAUUCAAUUUCGAAUCCGUUCGCACUUAUGACUUCAUGACAAUGAAUACAAUAUGAAUAAAUUACUAAAAUUAAGAAUACGCAAUUCGAUGAGACGGUCAACGAAAGUCAACUCAAGGGUAAUUUGGUAAUUUCAUAAGUCCAAUAAUACAAAAUAUGAUAAAUUAGGGACGGGGUUUCACAAUCUAGCCGUCUUAAGAGAAUUUCAUCCCAAAAUUUACAACCUCAAGUAAACAAGUAUGGAUACUGACUCCUCAUUAGUUCAGUUAUUUCCCGCGUGGCCUUCUUGACUGCGUGGUUCCUCCACAACACCUUUACUAACGAAAUGACCUUGUUUCUCAUCGCUUUAUCCUGUUGGUCGAUAAUCACCACUGGCUCCUCAACAUAAUUCAUGUCCUAUCUCACUUCACGUAUACGGCCAACUUGCCUACUUGCUUAGCGAACUCAACGAUUAAGUCAUUGACAUUACAGUCUGCAGCUCGCAAUAUUGACAACACAUUGUUGUCUCGAUAAACAAGUAGUAACUUCUUAAGGGUGCAAAAUUACCAUCUUGUCUAACUCUAAGGCAACAUCAAUUGAAGCACACAGUUUCCCAUAUCGAAAUUUUGACCCUUCGAAUACAGUUCGCAAUACUCUUCUAUCUAACCAAUGUCAUUUGUCGCAACUCUCAUACCAUGUCUCAAAUAGUGCCAUACCCAAACUGAAAUAAUAAACAUCGUCGUAAAUAAAUAAAAAAUAGAUCAAUGCAAAUUCUAAUCAUGCUAAAACCACAGAACGAAUUAACACAACACGUCCUUCAAGGUCUAAAUAUCUCGUUCAGACUGUCCAAGGUUUUCAAGAAAACUUCAUAAGACUUAGGAGCGACACGCACAUCACAAUGAGAUAUAAUAGUGACAGAAUACCCUAAAACUGAACAAUGUGAUUCACAAAGCCUAGGCGAGCUGAUUCAUUGAAAAUUUCUCUUGAAUUUAGCGAACGAUUAUGCCGAGAAGGCUAAAAGAACACUCAAGAAUUCAAGGGUCAAAACAAGUCCAGCAUAUCUAAAGUACAAGAUAACUGGAGUAAAUGCAUAACUUUGAUGCAAGAACACGUGCCAGAACCAAACUUGAUUUUUAUGGCACGUCGAGAUGGUCGAGUGCGAACUCGACUUGAGUGGUAGUUCAAAGUAAUUUGAUAGGCGGGAACUCAAACUUUUCCCCUUCCAAUAUUCACGACAGCUUGUUACAAUGAUAACCUCAGGGAUAUUCAAUCACCAAUGGUAAUAAUUCGCUCGAUAGGGUGUUAAUGGGUGAUCGAAUGACUAAUGGUCUCAGCUAAAACUUUCAGAUCUGAGUGGUCUUCUUGAACAGGUUUAUCUGUUUUUAGGAAUGAUACGAAGUGUUGAAGGGUAAACACGAACCCAAAGUUGAUUAGAAUGUCUUUCAGUAUCAGGAGGUGAAUCUGGGAUCACGGUCGAAAUCGAUGUAAAUCGAGAUGUUAGUCUAACGAAGUCCAGAAUGAAGAAUUAUGCCAAGUGGUCGAAAGUAUAGUCCUUGCAAACUAAUAGAUAAUAUGCUAAGUGAGUUUAUAGCAAUUUUUGAAAUGUCAUCAUAGUCUCCACGAGUACAGGGUGGUUUGUACAGGAAAUCUAUGGUGACAUUCACCCAUUUCCAUUUACAUGCUCAGCGGUCUCUGACAACCCAAAGACACCCAAGGAAAUUUCUUCCCAUGUCUAAACAGGAAUAUAAGAAAUUGAGAUAUGCAUGAUGGCUUCCAUCUCACCGCUUCCACUUACUAGUAAAUCAGGCAUCUACUCACAUAUUCAGCGAUAUCCCAUACAUACAACACCAGUAUUAAAGCAAAUGAUAAUAGUGGUACAAUUUAGUACUGCCAGCAUGCACAUGGCAUACACUGAAAUGUGAGCCUCAUCAAGAAUUUUCCUUUUUCACAGUUUCCUUAUCCUUAGGCAAGAACAAUUCGUUUCUUAUCAACAGAGUUCCAAUUCCUCAAACUUUCAAAUCCCGUCUCGUGUCAUCCGACACUUGCUCCUCCAAACUCACACAUUACUGAACAACUCUUGGGCUUCUUGCCCGAACUUUAUCGAUACAGGUUUGACUUAAAAGUGAGCCAACAAUACUCACCGUGGAUCGGAUGCUAAAAUAAAGCCAAAUCCAUGAAGGGAAAACAAUAGUGGGACAUGGACAGCUCGAAUGAAGGUGAGAUGUCCAUGGAAUUUCUAACCAAGAGCACCAUCUACAACAUUUGCCUGACCAAGAUGGUACUUAAAAGUGCAGUCCAAAAUCACUGAUGAGCCAUAUCCACCUCUUCCGUCUAAAACUCAACUAUUUCUAUGUCAGAACACACUACAACUUCUUUGGUUAGAAAGGAUGCAAAACAAAAGACUUAAAACUCACCACCAACAUCAAGAAAAACAAAAGAGGGAGCAUGAGUAAGAUGAUGUUCCAAACUCCAAAAAGUUAAGUUCCUAACUUUCAUCUCACAUAAAUUUUUACAAAGAAAGGGUAUCAUUGGCUUUUCAAUUAAGACGGUAACCAUUGGCUCAAGGUUGAAGAUAGGAUGGUUCACCUCCUACAAUUCCAACCGUAAAGAUGAACACGCAUAACUCGAUCAUGCUGCAUCAGCAUGUAGCCAAAUAUCCAAUAACACAUCACCAUAUGAUUGAAAUUUAUCGAUGUCAUCAAAAAGUGUAAGAACAAUGAUCAAACGAGACAAUACUUCCAUUGUUAGGAGCUUCGUUCACUUUCAACAACUCAACAAAAUUGACUAGUUUCAUAGCUAAGAAGGAGAUAAGGUUAUGCUCAAAGAAUCGUUAAGAACUGCUGAUAGAAAGUGACAAGAUCAAGGAUAUUUCGUAGUUCACAACACCUUGUGAAGAUUUUCAAUUUCCAACGGUCGUAACCCUUUUGGAAAUUAAUGAGAAUAACAUCUGCUAUAAAGGAGUCUCCCAAGAAAAGUAUUUAAUCGAAAUAAAGCCAACGCUUGAAGAAUUUGGUGUAAAACUGACUGUCGAUGUUUAGUGAACUUGACCUCGGUGUUGGAGUAAGCGAGAAGGUUAUCUAUAGAACAAUCACCAAGAAAUCUUCUGAGGGUCCACACGAAUUCCUUCAGUUGUAACAAGUCCAAGAACAUUGAUUCGAUCCUACCAACUAACACUUACUAAACACGACUAUCACUUACUCACUUUCUCCAACUCACACUUUGAAUGUUUCGAGGAAAUUCCAUAUGGAUAUGACUCUGCCCGCCAUUCCUAAGUAAUGCAUGUCACAGAGUAACUUCACCGUUUCAGAUCUCCCACUCAUACCACUAAAAUUUCUCUAUUUCACAACACUCCUAGGUAUAUACGACUCUGUCCGCUAUUCCUAAGGAACGCAUGUCGCAAAGUAGCAUCACCGACUCGGAUCUUCGGCUGGUUUUAACCAGACUUCCUUUCACUGGGCUUUCUAUUUCGCGUUACUUCAUAGUAAAUCCGACUCUACCCGCCAUUCCUAGGGAACGCAUGUUGCAGAGUAUCGGUCUGUUGAUGAGCUAUUCAUCACUAUAAUUUUUCACUGCUAAGGCACAAUCCCGACAAGAAUUUUGUACUUCAAAUAGGAUAUGAAAAUUCAGACAAAAAAAAGUUUACACAACUGCACCAAAAGGCAUCAAAUCUGAAAACCGUGGCAUCCAAAUAAUGUCAAGGCCGACACACUACUACAAUAACAUAAGAUCCUAAGUAUGCUUUGAAUAACUAGGCUCUGAUAUCAAUAUGACAUGCCUCGAUCCCGAUGUCCAAAGGACAACGGGAUGGCUACGGGCUGGCCGACACCCGAAGGUGACGCAAGCUAUUUAUGAAUGGAUAUGCUGAGAACAUGUAAAACAUACAUAAAAAUUUUGCGCAUAACUAUGCAACGUAAUAUUCAAAUACAACCUUUACAAAAUAAUGGUGAUGAUUCAUGACAUGUUCAGAGCAUACUACUAAUUAAGAUUACAAAGAAAGGGGUCCUCCACCAAGAGGACUCAAAGAUACCGAUGCGGGAGUGCCUUGAUGCUGGGAUUGUAAGCUUCAAUUCUAAGUCAUGAAGGGGCGUAAAACAAAACAUGAGUGGACCAAGUUUAUAUAUACGUAAUACUAACACAGUUAAUCUUCAACCUACUAACCCCCAAAGUUUAUGAAAACUCAUCUAGCAUAAUAGGUAAUAGGUUUUCCGAAAACCCUAGCAUGCCAUAAAAACUUCAUAAAACAUAUAUUAUAUAUAGUGUGCUUAGUAGCAUCAUAAAGGCAUAUAUAUAAAUCUUCAUUCGCCCGAAGGCACUUCAUCACCCGCCUAUAGGAAUAUAUGUAUCUUCAUUCUUCAUUCGUCCAAAGGCAUUUAUUCGCCCGUAGGCCCUACAUCACCUGACCGAAGCCAUAUAUAAAUAUCAUUCGCACAUAGGCCCCUACAUCACCCGACCGAAGCCAUUUAAUGAUAUCAUUCGCCUGUAGGCAUAAUAUAAGCAUAGAAAUCAUAAACAUAAUAUUUCCAAAAUAUAUCUCAUCAGAGCUCAAUAACUUAAACAUCAUAUCAUAAAUCAUGUUCAUGGUAUAUAAUCAUAAAUCUUUCAAAGAACGUAAAUCUGAUAUAGCAUGAUAUUUCAUAAAGCGUAAAUUUGUUUUGCUCAUUAACGUUUCAUAAAACGUAGUCAUAAAAUCAUGUUUUUCAUGUAUGCAUUUCUAGUAAUUAAAUCAUGUAUUUUGGAAAGGGUCCACUCACAGAUACUUUGUCGUUGAAGAGCCGUUUGAACUAGGAAGGAUAGAAACACCACUAACAAAUGCACCUAAGCACAUAACUAAAACAAAUUAAUUUAGGAUGGUGUCCCGGGUGAAACCCCCAAAAGUCAAUGUUGACCGGUCAAAAGUCAACGUUGACCAGUCAACAGUCAACGGUCAACGCUGACCCAAAGUCAAUGGCUGACUCAGCCAAGCUGAGCCAGCCGAAGAGCCGAGCCACGGGAGCUCACCAGAAUCUGGGAUUUUUUGCCACAAGUUUGGACAAUUUUCAAAGCAUCGUAACUCACUCAUUUCUUAACCAAAUUCGACCCAUAAUAUAUCAAAACGAAGCUAGGAAAGUGAAGAACAAGAUUAUACUUACUUGGAAACCCAAUGGUUGCCAGAGAUGGCCGGAAAUUUUCCUGAAAAUGACUGCGCAGCGGGUAAACUGGAAAACUACCCGGAAACUGGGUAAACUUUAAACUUUUAUAACCUCUUCAAUACUCAACGAAAUCUAGUGAUUCAAAAAUAAAAAUUAUACUUCUUGAUGAGAUGAAGAGAAUGGUACCUUGCAUGAUAGCUAACUCACAGUGGUUUGAUCGAAAAAUGCCUCAAAAGUGGCAGUGCGCGCUGGAAAAAUAGGGAAGCUUCCCCCAUGAGAUUCCUACUUCCAAACAUCAUCAAAACUUCUCAAAACUACUUCCAAACAUACAAUAAGACAUGAUCUAAAACUUUUGGAUAAGGUUUGAGGCUUACCAUUGCUGAAGAACGUGGAAACUCAUCCAAAAACUCGGUGAACAAUGAAUGCAAUGUGCAGUGAGUUUGGAAGUAUUUGGAGGGUUCUCCUUUGAUUCUGAGUUCACUAGGGUAAUGGUGGGGAUGUUGUUUUCGUUGUUGUGUUGUUUGUUUAUGUGAAAAGCCCUCGAAAAUGGUGGUUUGAGAGAGAGCCGAGAAUGUAGAGAGGGAGAGAGAUGAGAGAGUUGUGAGAGAGAGAGAGACUGUUUCACACAAAAGAAAGAGGAAUGAGGUCAUGGGGAGGGAAAAGGGAGGAAACAUGUGGGCCCUAGUGGCUCACAAAACAAGGUCACUAAGGACGAAACACGAAAAUAUCCGAAAAAUGUUCGACGUUUCGAAAUGUAAAAACUUCGUUAUAAAUCUGUUUGCGCCUACGCGUUUGUGGUGAUGAAUACAUAAGAAUAAAUUACUAAAAUUAGGAAUACGUGUUUUGACGAAACGGUCGACAAAAGUUAACUCAAGGGUAAUUUGGUAGUUUCAUAAGUUCGAUAAUACAAAAUAUGAUAAAUCAGGGACGAGGUUUCACAUUAGGAAUCCCACUCCUUAUUUUGGAGGAAUUGGACUCCCUACAUGAGGGAGGUAUUUUAAUUCAUGGACGUCUGAGGAAUUUGGAAUGGAUUUUUUCUACCAAUUAUAACCUUACUUGUUUCUUAUUAUCCCAGCAUUGCCCUUCAUUCUCCAUCUCUGUCAACACCACACCUUCCACCAUGCAGGGCCACAUCAUAUACCUAGCCUAAUCUCCCCUCGUUUCACCGAAUUGCUGGACUCUUACCUGAAUCCGAUCAUUGCACUCUUACCCGACGUAAUGGACUCAGAUGAAGACGGCAACAAGACCGCUCCACGCUAGACCAUGAAUGGCCUGGCUAUAGGGCGGUGGCUAUGGAGGUGUAAGGGGGUGGAAGAUAGAGACAAGGCAAGGAAAGGCAGGGAUGGGUAGAGGGCUAUACGACUAGGAAGAAAUACCUUUAGGAUGAAAGGGAACUCUGGGAAAGAUGGACAAGUGGGGGAUGGAUGGAAAUAACCAUGUUUUAAUAAAUAAAUAAAACUUUCUCUCAAAAAAUAAACAAAUAAAACAUGUUUAAAUAUUUUUAUAUAGAUGAAUUGAAUUAAUAAAUUUAAUUUAAUUAUUUAGUAUGAAAAUAAUUUAUUUAAGUAAGGGCAAUUUAGUAAUCAACCUAGUUUUAAUUCCGAUUGAAGUGAAUUAGUAAACAACUUAUAUAUACUCAAGCAUCUUUCCUACUCCAAUUCGAGACAGUUUUAGUAAGCAACUUCAACAAGAAUCUGAUUCUGAUUUCACCUUAGUUUUAGUAAACAACUUCAACAAGAAUCUGAUUCUAAUUCCACCUCAUUUCAAUUCCUUCUCAAUCCAAUUCCUCCUCAAUUCAAUUCCUAUCAAUCUGAUUACGGAUUAGUAAACGCGCUAUAAGUGGUUUGUCAUUUGAUGGAGAUUUUCUUUGAGAAAUUCAUAACCUUAUUGUAUCUUUCAGUAAUUAACUUUAGACAUUCUCAAACCAUAGAAGAAGAAAAUCAUGUGUCCCUGAGUGUAUCUAUCGUCAAGUGACCCGGACUAAGUAAAUAUUGGUACAUAAGAUAAAACUUAUAUCUAGAUAAAACUGAAGAUGGUAGCAUAAUAAACAUAUACCUAGCUAGUCUUUGAACAAAUAACUUCUUAUCCAAAACAUCUAGCUUUUUCUUAAUUGCAUUUGAUUCACUAAAUUCUCUAAGUUUGUGGAUGAAGAACCAUGUGGACCAGUGGCUUCUUCUGCCAAUGUCUUCCACUCCAUGGCCUUAUUCUUCAUUUUCUUCCCCUUCUUUCCCUCCAUUAAUUCUCUGACAAGCUUCUCCAGUUCAUCUCUCUUCACUUUAUUAUCAAUCUCCAUACCAAUGCCCCAUUCUUUACAACUAUAGUGGCAGUUUGUUUGCUGAUCAGCAAAGAAUGGCCAACAUAACAUAGGCACGCCUGCAGACACACUCUCUAUUGUCGAAUUCCAACCGCUAUGUGUUAAAAAUCCUCCAACUGAUGGAUGGUUAAGCACUUGCUCUUGUGGGCACCAACCUGUUAUUAGACUUCUUCCCAUAGUUUCAUCCACAAACUUAGGUGGUAAAAUUGCGGAUUCACCGAUGAUCAAGUCAGGCCUAAUUACCCAAAAGAAAGUAAGCUUGCUAUUUGCAAGACCCCAACCAAACUCCACAAGUUGUUCCAAUGUCAUUACCGUUAUGCUGCCGAAAUUCACAUAAACAACUGAGUUUGGCGCCUUAUCAUCAAGCCAUUUGAGGCACUCAGUUUCUUCUCUCCAUAGACUGUAUCCCAAGGACUCCAAAGGGUGUUGUGGUAUCUGAUUGAGAAGUAAUUGGAGAGGGCCAAUGGCGUAUACAGGCGGAGACAUAGACAAGAGAGCAUCCAAAACAUCUGGCUCCAAUGCAUCAAAAGUAUGUACAAUGACUGCUGAGGCUUCAUGAACUUGACCAACUACUUCAAGGACGCCAGUGAAAAUUUCAUCAUUGGGAUCUGUUGUUAAAAAGUUAUUUGGGAGAUCCCUUAAACGGAUAUUUUUCAUUCCUGGAAUCCAAUCUAUAACCUGGUCUAAAAAUCCAUUUACGAAACAACUCUCAUCUGCACAAUUAGCACCCACAUGAUACUUGAACAUUAAUGAAAGUUUAUUAAUUUGCAUACUUUGAAAAUUAAAGUGCAAAUAUCAUGGACCAUAAUUUCACUAUUUUACUAAUACUACAAUUUUCGUUGAUGAACUUUGAACUCACACCUCCUCCAACAGAGUGGAAACUGGGUGCUACUAGAGUAGUCACUAGCAACGCAAUUGUUGAUUGGCAAAAACCAAAGAGAAACUAAUCCUAAAAUUAAAGAUUAAUUGCUUCAAUUGUUACACCUUUGAGUGGUGCAAGUCCUUUUUCCACCAAAGCAGGAUAUUGCUUAAACGCCAUGAAGCUGCUUGCUGCAAAAGUAAAGAAAAGUGUGAUGGGGAUGCCAAGUUGUUUGGCAGCAGGAGUUGUGAAGGGCAUGAAACCAUCCGAAACAAUGCAGGUCACUGGAUUUUCAUUGUUCAGUUUUGUGACGACAUCAAGAAAAGGUGCCAAGAACUUAUUCCUGAUGGAAUCAGCGAGCAAAUUGAGGUCUUGGGUGGCAUCUUCAUUCGAAUCUGGAAGGCUAUCAGGAAUCGUUUCAAACCGAAAAUCCGGCAAGCCAUCUAGGGAGUUGGGUCCAAGAGAUUUAAGUAAGCGCCUGUGGUUGAACUCUGUGUUGAUAAUGGUUAUGUGAAAGCCUUUAUGGUGGAGGAGCUUUGCCAAUUUGAGCAUUGCCUUUAAGUGACCCUGAACUGGAACAGGCACACAAACAGCAUGAGGUUUAUUAGAACCCAUCUUACGUUGUGUGUAAAUUUCUGAUGAUGAUGAAUGUUUAUAAUGUGUGCAUUUUAUAGGUUAGGACAAUGAGUUCUACAAAGAGUCCCAUGCACAAGAAUUUUGGCAUGACUAUUAUAAUAAAUUAAUAAUCACGGAUUAUAGUAAACAAAAAUAAGUUACCAACUAACAAUUUGAAAGAGUCUACGUUUAAGGUUACAAACUUGAAUAGAGUAGUUUGAUCGAAUUCACUAUUCAUAUAACUCUCACAAAAGGUGAAAAUGUGUUUCGAAAGUUAUACCUAUGUAAACUCAAAUCAUAUUCAAAUACAAUAAGAUUUGUUUCUUUUAAAACUGUAAUUGAUCAUCCACCUAAUCAGACUGUCAUACUGAAAUUUCUAACCUUUGAGACAAGUAGACGAAGAACGUCCAAAUUGAUGAGAAAAUCGGUACACAAAUUUUACGAAGACUAAACUGUCAUUACAUACAUGUCCAAUAUAAAUGGAGUAGCAAGUAAAAACAUGAAGAAAGGACGGGCAUAAGCAAUCAAAAUUAUUUUUAGAAAAAGAAGAAAGAAAAGGCCUUGUAAACUAGAGUUUCUUUGCUAAAAUUACAUGACAAGAUGACAAGGCCGGCUGGUUGGAAUCUUCAAACAGAAUUCGUGAUUAUCAAAAUGCUUGUUGAGAAUAUUAAUAAGAUACUUGAUAAUGAAAGUUUAAAUUUUUCUCUUAUCAAGAAAAGAUUAAAAUUCAAUUCUAUCCCGGAUCUUACAGUAAAUUUCAGGCCAUUUUGAAAAUGUGUUUUCAAAACUAAAUACAGCUUUAGAUUAUCUGCUCGUCAAAUCCUUUUUCUGAUGAUCUGGAAAUCUUGUAAUCAUAUCCGUUCAUCGUACAUCGUGCGAAAAUGGAUCCGAACACAAUGUACGAUGAACAGACAUGAUUACAAGAUCCCACAGAUCCCCCGAAUAUGGAUCCGCCUUCUCCUUAGAAGUGCUUCUGACAAUAUUUGGUAAAAAAAAUUAGGAACAUAGAAAAGCUUUUGGGUUACCUAAAAAACACUUGCAAUUUUGUUAAAAUUAUCGAUACUUUUGUAGUAGAAGUGAUUUUACUCAAAAUACAUUUAAGCAUAAGUACUCUAAAAGAAGUAUUUUGAAGCGGACUUCUAUUUCUCCAUCUUUUUAUUUUUUAUUAUAAUCAUAGUUAUCUAAAUAUAUCAAAUAAAUUAACAGUGUAGAUACCAAGUGGUAUAUUCACGAUGAACCGUUCAUGUAUUUGAUAUAUUUGAAUUACUAAACAAACUCUAAUUCAAAUAAUUUUUGCAGAGAUUAUUUUCAAAUGAAUCUUUAGAAAAUAAAUUGUUUCGUUUAUAAAAAAUUUAUAUAUUUUUUCCAAAGUAGAAGACUGAUUCAUUCCCCUAAAGGUGAACACAACUAGUAUCCAAAACGAAAAGCAGGCCCUUGGCCUGCCAAUCAAACCCAACAAUAUCUUCAACCAACAAGCUUUUAUUUGACGGCCUCAACUAACAAGCUUUCAACACAAGUAAAAGAGUGUCAAACGCAGAACAGUCCAAGUCAAAUGCUAGUUCGGCCUAGCAGUCUGCUAAAACAUAAACAAACAUUUUGACCAAGUCCCAAUAACUCUACCCUAAGAAGUUUUACACUUUCCUUCAUUUGUAGAGGACCCUCACUGGCUAUGUCUCAAUUCUUAGUGUGAUUUCUUGUUUGGAAAGGAAUGGUGACCAUGGGAACACAACAAUUCGUAUGUUACUCAUAAUUUUAAAGGCUUGAAAGCUUUUGCUCAUGCCGCCCCUAUUUUCUAUGCAUUUUAGCACAAUAUUUGUUGAUAGAGUAAAGUUUGGGAGAUCAAAUUUUAUAUCAAAUUUGUCAAUCAAUUGAUGUGUCACCAAUAAAAAAUAGGGAGUUUUAACGAAAAGCUUACAGUACUGUUCACUUUAACGAAAAACCACAUUUUUACACUAAAAAGUCAAACCUGGUACUAUUCACUUUAUCCCUUAUUUUGUCCUUAUCAUUAAAACUCAAAGUUUUCAAGUAAUUUUUAGUAGUUUUCCUUAUAAAAUAAGCAUGUUAGUCAACAAUUAAAUAAUAAUUUAAUCAUCACUAUUCACAAUAUUUAAUUUACAAAAUUUGAUUUAUAAAUUUGAUCUCUAUAACAUUACCUUUAUAGAUAACUCCGUAGAUUAUUAUUGCACAAGCCAAAAGAGCGAGGGUAGGUAUUGAGUAGGCUAGAUAGCCAAAAUGAUCCCUGAGAUUUUCAUAACUCAUCACUCUGGUCCCUAACAUUUCAAAUCAAUCAAAGUGGUCCUUGAGAUUGUCCACCAUCCAUCAUUUUGGUCCUUCCGUUAAAAACUCGAAGCGUCCCGGAGCACUUGACAGGGAAGUUUGGGCAAUUUUCAAAGCUUUGUAACUCAAUCGUUUCUUAACCAAAUUCGACUCAUAAUAUAUCAAAAUGAAGAUAGGAAAGCGUAGAAUAAGAUUAUACCUAUUUCGAAGCUCAAUGGCUGCCGGAGAUGGCCGGAAAAUAGCCUCAAAGUUGACUGGUCCGAAGGAAAACUGGAAAACUCGCCGGAAACUGGGUAAACUGUAAACAUUCAUAACUUCUUCAAUGCUCAACGAACCCAAGUGAUUCAAAAACUAAAAUCAUACUUCUCGAUGAGACAAAGAGAAUGAUACCUUUUUAGAUGGCUAAAUCGUCGUGGUUUGGGCUGAAAACGGCUCGAAAAUGGCUAACUCGAGACCAAGAUAGCCACUUUCAAGCCCUUUUCUGGCCAACCCACGGUGAUUUAGCCAUCUAAAAAGAUAUCAUUCUCUUUGUCUCAUCGAGACAUAUGAUUUUAGUUUUUGAAUCACUUGAUUUCGUUGAGUAUUGAAGAAGUUAUGAACAUUUAAAGUUUACCCAAUUUCCGGCGAGUUUUCAAGUUUUCCCUCGGACCAGUCAACUUUGAGGCUAUUUUCCGGUCAUCUCUGGCAACCAUUGGGCUUUCAAAUAGGUAUAAUCGUAUUCUACACUGUCCUAUCUUUAUUUUGAUAUAUGGGUCGAAUUUGGUUAAGAAACGAUUGAGUUACAAAGCUUUGAAAAUUGCCCAAACUUUCGGCCAAGAGCUCCGGGACACUUAACAGAGUUUUUAAUGGAAGGACCAAAAUGAUGGAUGGUGGACAAUCUCAAGGACAAAUUUUAUUGAUUUGAAAUGUUAGGGACGAAAGUGAUAUGUUAUGCAAAUCUCAGAGACCAUUUUGGCUAUUUAGCCGUAUUGAGUCAUAAUUAAGUUGUCGCAUGGGUUAGCUCAAAUGGCGAAGUUGAGUGAGACUUGUACCUUUUGCUAAUUAAUCACAUUGAACUUCGACAAUAUGGUGCAAAUUAAGUAUUUUCCAUAAAUUUCAUUAUUUUUGUCACAAAACCUAGUGAUCGACCUAAAGUCACAUGUCUAAUCACAUAGCUAGGUCAGCAGGGCCGUCUCUGAGAUUUCGGGGGCCCUGUGCGAAAUUUAUAAAAGGGCCCAUUUUUAAGAUAUUUUUUUUUAAAGUAUGACAAUAUAUUGGUACUAGAAAAUUUUUACAGACUCACUGAUUGUAAAUUUAUAAGUGUCAUUAAAUAGGUACAAACAUAACAUGCAAAUAAAAAAAACAGUUCAAUCUUAGCAAUUCACUUCAAACCUCUAAAGAAUUUCACUUGAAUAGGAAAAAGAAAAUCGUCACUUAACAAAUUUUGAGUGCACCUUAAUAAAAUGACGAUUGCACAUUUCGCUCCUCUUCAGCGCCGCCUUUGUAGGUCAGAUGUCAACAUAUGACUUAAAUAACCUCAUAUAGAAAGUGUGAGAGAGAGGUACAGAAAAUUAGACGGAGAAAGAGAGUGAAGGAUAGAGAUAUAAAGAGAGUGAAAGAAUUUCUCACGUGGCCAAAUACCUAGCCAACAUCUGGGGCACGUUUUUUAUGCUUCCCCCCCCCCCCCCCCCCCCUCCUUCUAUUUUCCCCUCUAUUUUGUAGCUUUAUUUUUAUGAUUUGAUUUAAUCAUCGGAUGGAAUAGUAGUCUCUCCUCCUACUGGCGGCUAUCGGAAACGGAGUGCAGCUCGCACGUUCAACUUUCUCCGAUGGCCACUUCUGAACCACAUUCGUAUUCUCACAAAACUCCAACGUAAGUUCAUCAGUGUUUUCGUGCCCAAAAUGCUAUGAUAUUUUUCCGCAUUCACACGCACAUAAGUAACUCUUAACUGUGCAUGUAUGAGAUUGACGAUGAAAUUACAUUAGUGGAUGAGAAGUUAUGAUCAUUUUGUGCAUGUGUGGACGAUUUCAAAAACAUAGCCCUUUCCUUUUGGUUUUAUAAGAGAUUGCAUUUGAUAUAUCAUGCCGAAAAAUUGAAAUGACCAAACAAUUGUUUAAUUCUAUCUGUUUGCUUGUUGAUAUCUCCUUUGGAAACUGGAAAAAGACUUCCCUGAUAUCUCUUUGCUUUCCCUCUUAUCUUUGUUAGGGGUGAGUCAACUCGGAGCAAAGACAAAUUACGAUUUUCUAUAAUGGACAAGUUUUUGUUUGCAACGUGACGGAACUUCAGGUACUUCGUGAAUUGUAUGAAAUAGGUUUGCAUUUUUAAGGAAGAAAACUGUAGGUUCUCUGCAAUGUGUAUGAAUAUGAUCCGUUUCUUUAUAUCUCACUCGUUUAUUUCAUGUUGCAUUCAAUGUAACGUGGUACUAUAGAUUUUCCAGUAUAUAUAUGAGAGUCAAUGCUAUAUGACAACAUUGUAUCAAACCAAAAGCAGAAGAGGAAACUGAGAAAUGAAAGGAACAGAACAAUUAGAGUUGUGCCAUAAAGAAUGGUUUCAAAACUCAAAAAGUUCUGGGUAGAAAAGAGGAUGUGCAACAGAAGUAUUAGUCAACAAGUAGCUUGAGCCCAACCCUGUGAACCCAACAUAAGUGUUAUUAAUCAGUAGUCAAUUAUUAUUGUUUUUAAUUUUUUCAUGUUUUUGGUACAUCUGGAGAGAAUGAUUUCGAUCUUGAUUAUGUUUUGGAAGGACAAUUAGGAUUUCAAUCUAAAAUAUGCUUUGACCUUUAUUUUUCAAAUGAAAACUUUAUCUUUUACAACAAAACAUUAAGGAUUAGUCAUAAGGUAUAGGUUGUUGAAUGUUCCUUAAUAUAUGAUCUCCUAAUGGCCUUGUCCUGAAUCCAAAAACAAAAUGCAUCAAAUAUGAGCCAACAAUUAUUGUCCAAGCAAAUUCUAUGAACUGACAGCAAGUUAUGAGUUAUUCUAGGAACAUAAAGAACAAAAUUUAAUUUGAUCGCAUAGGAGUUUUGAAAGUGGAAUUGAACCUUCACCAUUUGCUGUUUGUAGUGUGUCAUUAUGAGGAUAUGAAGAAGCCAAGGACAAAUUGUGCAAAUCAUUAGCCAAAUGAUUGGUAGCACUAGAAUCUGACAACCAUACUUAUGGUGAAGCUGAAUUUGAUGAAGAAGAUGGCAUAGAUGGCAUAUUAUAAGAAGAUGAUGCAUUUAUAGAAAUUGGCAACUGAGAAGAUUGCAUAUUCAUCACAGGAGGCAUAGUAUUCAUAAACUGAGGAUAUUGCAUUCAACCAGGAUAAAUUGCAUUCAUGGCAGUCAUCUGUGAUCCAGAAGUCUUGGCUUUAUUUCUAUAGAAAUAUGUUUUGGCAGUGUGAUUGGUUCUAUCACAAAUCUGAUAGGACUCAGAAGAUUCAGCAUCUCUAUAUAAGCACAAUUGACAUAUGAAUGACCUUUUGUUGAGAACACAAUUGACAAAUAAAAUUGGUAGAUAAGGCAACACGAUUGAACUGAGAAGGAUUUCCAAGAAUACCAGGAGCAUAAUCAUGAACAAUAGGUUUGAAACUAUAGUACCUCUAGCCUUGAGUAUUGUAAUAUUUGUUGCCCUAAUUGUUAUUCGAUUUCCCUUUUCUUUUGUAUUUGGAACGAUUGCCACCAUUGAAAAGGUUGGACUGCCCAGAAUUCCCACUGUGAUUCCCAUUGUUAAAACCAUUACUGCCAUUUUGGAACCCAGAAGUACCAUUAGAAUUCCCAUAGGAAAAUCCAAAACUACCAUUGUGAUUUUGAUUUUGAGCCAGCAAAGCAGUGGGAAAACUGACAGAAGAGUUACUCUCAAUAGUUGCUUCCUCAGCAAGCAACUGAGCAUGAAACUCCUUGAGUGAAAUCACACUUUCAUGACCACGAAUAACACACUGGAACAUGUUAUAUUUAGCUGGUAGACCAUUUAAAGCCAAGAUAACAAUGUCCUCAUCAACAUAAAUAACCCCGGCUACAAAGAGAUAAUCUCUAGCCUCCUUGAUGCGCUGAAGAUAUUGACUUACAAAAUCAGCCCCUUUCUUGAUAAUUUGUAAGUCAGACUGAAAAUGGAAGUCUUUGUAACUAUGGAAAAUUAGUCUUGAAGACCCACCCAUAAAUCUCUUACACUGGUGCUCCAAUUGCACAAGAAAUUGCAAUCAAAGACAAAGUAGCAGUGAUAAGUUGCAUUAGUGCUCUAUCGUGCAUCUUCAAAACCUUAAACUCAUCAGAUUCAACUCUUAAGUUGGAGCCAAUAGAUACAACCUCUGAAUCAGCAGAACUUGAAGAAGAAAACUGAAAGGGACAAGUAUUUGAUCCAUCCACAAAAUCCAUAAUGCCAUACCCCUUGAGCAUCAAUUUCAUCUGUAAAUGCCAUUGAAGAUAGUUGGUAUCAUCCAACUUAGCAGCAACAGAUGAAAAAAAUAUUAUGAAAAUUAUGAAUAUUAUGCUUUGGUUGAUUUGCUAUUUUACGCAUGUCCUAGGGAGAUCGUGAAAGAAAAUAGGCAAGGUUUUGAAGAAAUCGUUUUACGCAUGACUUAUUAGUUGAUUUGCCUACUGCCUAGGCCACCCCCUUGAUCAUGAAUUUCAAAAAGUAAUUCAUUGAUUAGUAGAUUUGCAAAUGAAAAAUCAGUUGAGCAAGACAGAAAGACAGCAUUUGAUCACUAGUUCACGACUUUCCCCUUAUUUAAUAGACAAAGAGAACUGCUUUAAAAUAAUGUAAGAAUUAAAACUGGGUAGGAAACAUAUAUGCUUUACAAUAAUUUGGCUUGUCAUUUACCUUCAAAACCAAAGCCGACUGAUAAUUACGACAGAUGCUUUACAGAAUCACUUUUGUUUUAUGUUGCCGAAAUAUUACUUUACCAUCUAAAUUUUCAUUGGUUACAUGCACUUGUUCUUCUAUUCCUGUUAAUAGUGCCGGAGUUUUUAUCCAAAUUUCGAUAAGAAAUCGAUGUUGUCUUGUAUCUUUGGCAGGAGAAAUCUUAUGUGCCACAAUGUAUCAUCCCAGUGACAGAGUAGAAUCUCUCAGCAUACAUAGCAAAUAAUGUAUAACAUUAAAAUGUUCAACCCAAAAUUAAUAUCUAAACAAAAUUGAAGAUGGUGGCAGGCUAAACAUGUUGCCAAUUCAUCGAACCAAUAACAUCUAGGAAUGCAGUGCAUGUUUCUUGGUUGUUCUUGUGCAGAACAUCUAGACUUUUCUUACAAUUGAAAUUGAUUCACUAAUUUUUCCAAGUUUGCAGAUGAAGAACCGUGUGGACCAGUGGCUUCCUCUGCCAAUUUCUUCCACUCCAUGGCCUCAUGCUUCAUUCUCUUACCCUUCUCUCCUUGCAUCAGCUCUCUAACAAGCUUCUCCACUUCAUCUCUCUUCACAUUUUUAUCAAUCUCCGUACCAAUGCCCCAUUCUUUGCAAGUACAGUGACAGUUUGUUUGCUGAUCAGGAAAGAAAGGCCAACACAACAUGGGCACUCCUGCAGACACUUUCCAUUGUCGAAUUCCACUGCUGUGUGUCAAAAAUCCUCCAACUGAUGGGUGGUUAAGGACUUGCUCUUGAGGGCACCAACUCGCCAUUAGACUUCUUCCUUUAGUUUCAUCCACAAACUCAGAUGGAAAAAUUGCUGAUUUACCAAUUACCAAGUCAGGCCUAAUUACCCAGAAGAAAGUAAACUUGCUCUUUGCAAGUCCCCAGCCAAACUCCACAAGUUGUUCCGGUGUCAUGACCGUUAUGCUGCCGAAAUUCACAUAAACAACCGAGUUUGGCUCCUUAUCGUCCAGACAGGGGAGACACUCAGCUUCUUCUCUCCACAGACUGUAUCCCAAGGACUUCAAGGAUGUUGUGGCAUCUGAUUGAGAAGUAACGGGAGAGGGCCAAUGGCGUAAACAGGUGGAUAUAUACUUGAGAGGGCAUCCAAAACAUCUUGCUCCAGUGCAUCAAAGGUAUGUACAAUAAUUGCUGAAGCUUCAUGAACUCUACUCAUUACUUCAAGGAUGUUGUUAAAAAUUUUGUCAUUGGGAUUUGUUGUCACAAAGUCGUUGGGGAGAUCCCUCAAACGGAUAUGUUUCAUUCCUGGAAUCCAAUCUAUCAUGUGGUCUAAAAAGCCAUUCGUGAAACUGCUCUCAUCUACAAACACGCAAGCAAUACUUAAUUAAUAAGAUUAAAAAUAAAAUCAUAGGCAUGUUUACGAAAUUAAAGAGCAACUCUCUUGAGAAUUUUUUUUAUUUACCAAUGCCACAACUAUCGUCCAUGAACUUUAGAUCAAUUGAUCACUGGCGGUGGUAUAUUGAUUAAAAAAGAAACACCAAAUAAUAACGAAAUUAUACACUGCUAAUUCUUUACCUUUGAGUGGUGCAAGUCCUCUUUCCACCAAAGCAGGAUAUUUCAUAUAGACCUUUAGGUUUGCCAUCGCCGACCUCCGUUUAAGAUUUUUCCAGUGACAAUGGGGGAAGAAGAGUCAGGAGGAGACAUGGGCGUCUUGGGAGAUAGGGACUAGAAAGCAAGUCUUGAGAACAAUACAGGUCUUGUUUAUUUUGUUCUUUUAAUAAAAUUUAAAUACAGGUGUCCAUAGGUUUUUGGUGAGGAACUCCACUUGUCAUGUUGAGGUGUGCGUUCGAGUCACAUGAAAAAAUUUCUCCAAUACUACAAUGUGGCAAAGUGGAUGACAUACCGCAUUCUUCUAUGGCUAACGGUGUUUAAUGUUUCUCACUACAACUAUAAACCCUAGAACAAAUUAAGGAGCAACAAGACAGAGUAACAUAGAUUAACACCAUAUAUAAAGGUUUAUAGCAACAGUGAAACAAACAACACACGAGUAUAAAAUCAUCCAUCUGGGCUACGUCAUUUUCGCUAAAACACUGAAAUCACCCUAAGCAAUUGGUUAAUCCUCUAUGCUCCAUUCAACAUAACCGAGUACGAAAAGCUAGUGCAAAGCAGAUCGAACCAUGCCCGGAUACAAUGAUAUUAUAAACCACACCACAUAACAUGGGACUCAACUUGAC